AUGAUUGGCAAUAUACAUCGAAGCCUCAAUCUGCUAUGUAUUUUUCUGGUGUUACAAAGACCAAUUCCAGUGUUGACCCAAGGUAAGAUUAUAUAUACAGGUUUUAGCUUUCUAAACUAAUUUAAGGUUAUAUGUGUGUAUGUGGUUGUUAAAUUAGUAUUGGAAAUGUGGUAUUUUUAGAUAUUGAUUGAUAUAAAAUGAAUGUACUUUAAGAGUGUGCGUUAUACACCCAUUCUUUAAAAAAAAAUUCUUGUUGAAAAUUAAAACAAUUAUAAAUUUAGACAAGACUCUUGAGGGGUGUCUUUCUGGAGGUGUGCCUAUAUUGUCAGAAGUCAUAAAAUACAGAUAAUGGAUUUUUGUAAACAUUGUAUAGGAACAUUGUUUUAAGAAAAUCGUGCAAAUUGCAGAGUAUCAAAGCAAUUAAACACGCUUUAAUAAUUUAUAUUUCAAUAUUGAAUUUAUCUGUGAAAUGUAUGCAUAAUAAAACGAACAUGAAUUAAUGACAGUUCAUCGGAACUGAAAUACACAUAGUUAAUUUUCCGGCAUUUGAUGUCUUUAUCCUGGACGAGAAAAAUCUGUAAUUCUUUAUCUCAUUAGGUGUCAGACCACAAUUACUCCCUCCAAUUUAGAACGUAUGUAAAAGUAGCCCUAUACUCUGACACAAAAUAGUGCUUUUGAUGUUCUUAAACUAACCAACAAAUUUGCAGAAAUGAACUUUUGGUGAAAGAGAAAUAUAUCUAGAUCAUUUUGAGCCAAAAUUUACUUGUCUAUGAGUUUGCACUAAAAGUUGAGGAUUAAUGCGCUCCAUAGUAUACUAAUUUCAGAUUUCCAGAAAACCACGUAUUUUUUGGGGGGUACCUCUGUUUGAAGGUCAGUUAUUUUGUUAGAAGGCUUUAAAGGUAUGGUGAAAAUUGUCAUGUAGAAAGCUGAUACAUGUACAAUUAAGGAUAUACCUGGUUUCUAUGAAGUUAAACUUAAGGUAAAAUAUUUAAAAAGCUAUGAAAAUUGCAAAAUUUGGUUGAACAGAUAGGGAUUUUUAAUUGGUGGUGAUAAGUAGUUUAUUCAAGAUGGCGUGUAUUUCAACUGAAACUAAUAGAUGUAGCUCCGCGCCGUGAUGCGAAGCAUAUACAUCGAAUGCAUAUUGUUGAUCUGUGAUCCGGUACACUGGAUAUUGCUGAAUAUUGUAUAUUUGUCCAAAUAGAAUGUUCUUACUGUAGCAGUUUGACAUAACAAGAAUCCAGUUUACUAUACAAUGAAUAUGUGUCGUUUCCUGUAAACUUUUAAUGAAAUCUAUAAAUGCAUAAACUAGUGUCUUCAAAUAAACAUUUUAUUCACCAUACACUUAUAGUAUUAGUAUAAGCAAAACGUUAUGAAGCUUGAAAUUUUUGUUUUUACUUAUUACUACUUGCUGACGUGGUACAUGUACAUGUUAUCGUAGCUGAUGAUUUUUUUAUGAACACAUUGAGAACAUCGAUAACCGUUGUUUUGUAGAGGGAAGGUUUUAAAUUAUAUUUUGUUCUUGUGUUCUUCGUUUGAACUUUAGUAGAUAGUUGUCCUAUUGGCAAUCCUACCACAUCUUAAUUUCAUAAACUGUAAACCAACUGGUUAACGUUUUCGCGGAUUUUUUUUUCGUGUUUUAGCCCUUUCUAACCCAAUUCGCAGCAAUUUAAUUUCGCGAUUUUCACCUUUACGUAACAUUUCCAAGUUUUACUUCAUCGCGGCUAUUUAUCAACGCAUUAUAUUUCAACUUGCCAAAGUCGCAAAAAUAAAUAUGUCGAUCGCGGAUAUAAUUUGAUUUACAUUAUAGAUUAAUUAUUUGUCGUCUGCUCUCCUUUGCAGUUCCGCCCGGUUCACCCGUUAUUACCGGACCCGACACUAUAAUGAUGGGUGACAUUGUAACCUUGACCUGUACUGUACACGGAGGCUCUCCACCACCAACUGUUAAAUGGUUUGUAAAUGAUGCUGUCAUAGAUGAUACGUCGACGUUUACAGGCGGUACAACACACAAUUCGUAUACAUUUACGGCAGUGGAAACAGAUCAUCAUAAGGUGUUCGAAUGUCAGACUGAUAAUGGUGUCUUACAGAAUCCGUUAUCUAGAACUCAAUUCAUACGGGUAUAUAGUAAGUCAUUAAUACAUUGUAUCAUUUAUUACCCAUUCAUUUCUGUACAGAUAGAGUUUCAACAUUUUUUUCAGUUCAUAUUUACAUAUUUAAUUGUUAAAAUACGAGUGUUAAAUGAUUUAUUUUCAAAUGUGUUUCUUUAAUCGUAAUAUCGUACGGUACAUACAUAUAUUUUUAGUUACAUGGUGUGUUAGUGACCUAAAACGAUAUAUAUGGGGUCAGUAAAUCCCAUAUGGGGUUAGAGCGUAGCUCAAAUACCCAUAUGGAAUUUAUUGACCCCAUAUAUAUCGCAUUAGGUCUCUUGCACAUCGUGUAACGAAUUUAUCUUACCGACUAUCUUCACAUGUGGCAUUUUGACUAGUGGCCUAUCAAAGUGAAUAAGUCUGCAAUAUACUUAGUAUUAGGAUCCUACUUCCAUUUGUCUAUACAGAAAACAAAUGCACACAAUAACAACUUUUUAGCUUUAAAUUUGUUUUGUGAAUUUAUUUAAAUCGUUCAUUACAUGUACAUGUAUCAAUUUCUUCGUCUGUUGAAAACUUUCAGAUUCCUUUUUUUGUUUUGAAAGGGAACUUAAGUAACUCCUUAAUGCCAACAAUAACAACUUGGUAGCUUUAAUUAUGUUGUAUGCAUUUAUUUUAACCUUUCAUCAAUUUCUUCGACUGUUGAAUCCUUUCAGAUUUUUUCUCAACACCGUGAUGUUUUGAUUAAAGGUUGUGCUAUCUUUUUUGUUUUGAAAGGGAAGUAACUCCUUACUUCCAUAUGGUAACUAACCAUGCAUGGUAACUAACCCUAUAUUUUCUAGGACGCCCUAUAUAAAAUAUACAUAGUCACAACGUGUAGUCCUUUAACCAAUCAUAUAUCUAUACAUCUAUUGGAGGUAAGAUAAGUACACUUACAUGUAUACAUAUAGUAGAUAUAUCAAGCCUUGUGUGGCUGACUAUGCAGUAUGAGUUUUACUCAUUAUUGAAGGCUGCAUGGUGACCUAUAACGUUUAUGUCAUUUGGUCUCUGGUUAAGAGUUGUCUCAUUAGAAAUAAUACCACAUCUUCUUAUCUGUAUAUGGUAUACCGUAUUUACUAUUAUAAUUCAUAUGUUAUCUUUUAUAAAUAUGUAACUCAACUUUGCUUCGCUCUAAUUUCGGGGAUAUACUUGACGGGGCUCAAGACAGAGCAUGUCCUCACACAUUUAUAAUUAAAAAAACAUUUCAAGGUGUUUUACUUACAUAGAUAUAAAAAGAUGUGGUGUGAGUGCCAAUGAGACAACUCUCCACCCAACUAACAAUUUAUAAAAGUAAACCAUUGUAGGUUAAUGAACGGUCUUCACCAUAGAGCCUUGGCUCACACCGAACAACAAGCUAUAAAGGGCCCAAAAAGCACUAGUGUAAAAUAGAUCUGCUGCACAUAACUCUUACAUGUAAAAACUUAAAAUCAAAUACGUUUUCCUUUUUAACUUGCUUUAAUUUCAUAUUUUUUGCUAGGAUCCCCGAAUCCGCCCACCCUAACUGGACCAACAACAAUUACAACAGGAACAUUAUCAAAAUGGACGUGUGUAUCAGAGGAAGGUUAUCCAGCACAAAAUAUGUCUAUGAGAUUAGGGAGUGCCUCGUUUGGCAAAGGAUUUACCACUAAUACCCGACUUGUAGGACUGAAAUCGUACACUGUAAUCGGAACCCUAUAUUGGGCCCCAUCUACUCUCAAUGACAAACUCAUGCUAUAUUGUGAUGUUUAUCACAAGGAAACAUUAGGACCAAACAAUGCUCAAACAGUUGGAUUGCUUUUGUCAGUAAAAUGUAAGUUUUUAAAAAUUGUGAACUUAUCAUACUUAGGAUUUAAAUUUGGACGAGGAGGGUGGGGGCUUUGUUUUAGUAUUAUUUUUUAUUUUUUUUUUUUUGUCAUUUUUCUCUAUGCUUUAUUUCCAAUUCUGUAAACCAAAUAAAGGAUCUCAUAUCUAAAUAAUUACUUGUCAUUGUACACCAUCUAGUCCUGACGAUUGUUUGAUUGUUGGAUAGUUUCUGUUAGAGACAGCGUUUCUAGUUAGGAGCAAAUUUAGAGAUUGAAAAAUAGAAUAUAGACAUCCACAUAUUCUUCACAACCAUAUCUUAACCCCUAUCUGUAUUGUUUGUUAUGUCUUGUCGGGUUGCCGUCUGACUGAAUGUAUUUCAGCUUCCCAGUUGUGUACUUUCCAUUUAUAUUUAGUAACUAAUCAGAAUCUGCAUACGGAGUAUACAUCUCACAGUUGAUACGAUAUUACAGGGCUUGUACUUCCAAUCGUAAUUUUCUUGAUAGAUUGUUGUAUGCUGUUCACAAAGAAUUUAUCAAACAAAUAUUUCCAAGUGUCGAAGCUGAAAUCACCCCUUCGUAAAUUUUACGGACUCAAUCACCAGUUGCUUGAUUGUAAUGGAAUGUUCUUUUCCCAGUUGAUAGCGGAUAUGUUCCAAAAUAUCGUUACUUCGAUCCCGUUAUCAUUCCCCUAAUAUGACUGUGGUAGCACUCCACAGUUAUCAUCUAAAGGUAGAAUUGCAUGUUAAGUACAGGAACAUGAACAUGCAUUUUGAAAUGGAUAAAGCAACUGUUACCUAGAUACCAAAACAUGUAUACAUAGUUAUAAUCCUUUUUGUCAGACAAUUCCAAAUAUGUAACAAAAUAAUGUAUGAGUUCAGUAUCCAUGGAAACAAAAGGUGUUUGUUUACUAUUUUUGUUCUUCAUAAAUGGCAUUCGGACACUUUCAUUCAGGCUAAAAAUACAUAUAAAAUAGAAUUUCAAUGCAUAUCAGACAUACAUUACUUAACACUGGUAUAUAGCCGUAUAAAUGUAUACACAUCUACUGAACAAAACAUGGUUCAAUCUCUUCUCUGGAGUCAUAAUUUUCAAUAAUAACCACUUUCAUAGCAACAUGAGUUAUUUGUACUCAUUUUUAAAUACUUUUAUCAUGUCAAUUUGUUUUAUAAAUAAAACCCCAUGCGAAACUAACAAUCAUAACAUUACUGUGUCCAGAGUGUUAAAAGGUGUUAUCAACCGGAAUUCCUGGUGGCAAAGGAACAUAUUGGUUAUUCAUUUGGUGACGUACAGUUUUCGGGCGGGAGACUACCAAACAGUGUCCGUGAAAUAACUUAAAAACGCUUUGACGAAAUCUUUUCAAAUUUAGGUAUCGAUGCUUCUUUUUCCUGAUGAUAGUCCGUCAGAAGGGGACGAUAAAUCAUUAUGGCUAACCCGUGUAAAAGACACCCUUGUAGAUUUCGAAAAAGAACAGGCCAAUGCCGCAACUAGGCAGCACUCGCAACCGCAAAGUUGAAAGGGUUUAAUAUAAAUAAUAGAUAAAUAAAUAUAUUUAAACUAAAGGCAAUUGAUAAUAAAUAGUUGUAUUUAAUUUAAGUUUGAACCAAUAUUUACAUUUUCAAGAAAUGUUAUAAAAAAAAAAAUGACGGACAAAUAAUCAGGACUCACCUUUGAUUCGCAAAAAGAAUGUAGUGUCUGGUUAUGUAUGCAUGAUUGAUAUACCAAAAUUAUUUAAAACUAUUUUCAGCAAAUUUUACAAUAAAAACACCAAGACUAAUGUAUGAGCCAAUGACUGGGCAAUCCGCCACUCUGGUGGUUGAGGUUAUCAUUGGUAAAGCUACGAAAGUCAGUUGGUACAAGAAUAACAAUCUUAUUGACACAGCAUCAAACGCCAGAUACUCCGGAGGGAACUACCAGACUCCUUCUUUGACCAUCAAUAGGGUUGAACUUGACGAUGCCGGAAGUUAUAUGGCUUCAGUAACAGAAGGCAGAGACAAUAGAAACACAUCUAUAAUCACUGUAUCUCCGAAAGGUUGGUUAAUAAAUAACGCAUAUACAAUAACUAUCUCCGAAAGGUUGGUUAAUAAAUAACGCAUGCACAAUAAUUGUAUCUCCGAAAAAUUGGUAAACAGACGUAAACAACUUAAAUUUUCACAAUGUUGGUUAGAUUAUAACACCAGUGCAAUACGGUUUUCUCUGAAAGGUUUGCUUAUGAUAUUAAAAACCAAUUGUUCUCUAGAUCUUUCCAUCUCACAUGUUGAUACUUGAUGUUUCAAAUUAACAAUUAAAAUUUGCAAAAACUCUUUUGAGUUGUCCGCAGGUGCACGUACGUGGCUUGUAGUAAGGCAAAAUGUCUGUCCAUAUGCCUUAAAUUAGUUGAGAAUAAAGGCUUUUUCCCCUGGAGAAGAAUCCCAAUUUGAAAAAAAUGGCUUAAAAUUAUUCCAAAAAAGACAACCUUUUUUCCCAAACAGUGCAGUCUCGGUAGUAAUUGUGCAUGAAUACACACUGAAAAACACUCAUUUAAACAAUUUUCUUGCCUAAAAUGACUAUGUGCACAUUUGAGGGUCUAUUUAUGUAUCAUCCCUCACAAAAUGGAGUCUUAUUUUAAAGCAGGGUUCGACUCUUGAAAAUGGGUCUGUAAAUUAAAGUUUCCGUCAAAUUCAUGGUUUAUUUAUAAAUUUCUCAUUUGAUGAACGCAUAUUUUCCUAAAAAAGGUAAGGUAGUUUUGAAAAAAGCCAACAAUAUCACUGGCAAUGCAUAUAUCUUGAUAGCUAUAUAUAAUGUUUAUCGCACUACAGGAAAAUUAUCACGUUGUGAUUGGUUUAAUGCCGUCACGUGGUGACCCCUAUGAGACCGUAGGGAGGUUAGUUAAUUUCAUAGGGGGUUCACGCGUUAAUCGGCAAAGGGUCUGCAAAUAGAUUCCAAUACAUGUAGAUUUACAAGUAUAUUGUAACAGCCAUUAAUUAUUAUGUAUAUCUCUGAGUCUGCGCUUAGUAUAUUUUAUCGAAAAUUUUAUCACAGUGUUGUUUACAAAGCUAAAGAAGCACGUCAUAUUAGAAUUUUCAACAAAACGCAGCAGAAAAAGUCUUGCAUGCGAUUGAUUCGUUAUACGGUUAACUACUGACCCCUCCGGCCUCACCCCUAUGGAUUUUACUAACCCUCUAUGGAUCCGUAGGGGGUCAGUAGCGAACCAUAUAACUUAUAGUAUUAGGUUGACUGUUUUGAAAAAUCUAAAACCUGUUUGUAUUUACAACGUUAAGAAGGGAAAAUCUCGACAAGCCAAUAUAUUCUUAAUAUUCCUACAGCUUAUUCAAGCAACUUUCAUUUUUUCGGACAACCUACUCAAUUGCGUAUAUCUAUUGUUAUGUGUGUCAAGGUGUGAAAUAAAAAAAAAUAAGCUACUGUAAAGCGCAUGAUAACGAUUUACAUGUUGAACAUCGGGAAUUUGUCUAUUAUGCAGAAGCAAAAUAAGAAUACCUUAAAAUAUGAUUACAGCCGAUUUCAAUGAGUGUGUAGGCAAUGUAAUAUCUUUAGUAGCUUGCUUGCUAGCUGAACCGUGAAGCCAUAGAUUAGUUAAACAACUCUCUUUUAAGAGUAGCCUACUCAGACAGAUAACCAAUUUAUUUGUUUGUAUGAAUAGGCUACACUUCCAUUCUCAAUUUUACUUUGAAAGGAGGGUAGUAUACCUUACCUAACAAUGACUUCACGGUUUAGAUAGCAUGCAAGCUAACCAAAGAUAAUACCUAAAAUAGCUACACACUCAAUAAAAUAUUCUGUAAACUACUUUCGACACUUUAUUUCAUAACCAGCGAUUAUUAACUAAAUGAAAAUUAGCUGAAUCAUUCCAUGUCACGUGAUAAAGUGUUAUUCAAUGAAAUUGUUGUAAUAUAUGUAAGGUAUAAUAAUCUUUAUUAUGUUCUUUUGAUAGCAACACCAGCACAGCCGACGUUGACUGGUCCAACAUCUAUAACAGCAGGAACGACUGGUUCCUGGACAUGUAUAUCACAUGGCGCUUUCCCUCUCCAAACUAUGUCAAUGAGGAUCGGUAACCAGAUUUUCGGCAGUAGUGAUAUGUCUAUUUAUUCUCAAUAUGAACCAGCCGUCAUGUCAUUCCGGGUUGUUGGGAUGCUGUCCUGGACGCCUUACAUAAAUCAUGAUGGACAAACUCUUUUCUGUGAUGUUACUCACCCUGAAACUUUAAAUAAUCCACAGACAGUUAGUUUAAAACUUACAGUGAGAAGUGAGUUUAUGUUAUUAAUGAAGAUGAUAUCCCAAAACGUUAAUUGUAUCUAUAUAAGUAGGAACAUUUUGUAAUCAGUCGGGCACCUGAAGUAUUUAUAGCUGAUUGCAUUGAGUGUGUAGGUAAAGGUAAUAUCGUUGGUUAGCUUGCUUUCUAGCUGAAACGUGGAGUCAUUUUAGGUCAUGUAAACUACCUCCCUUUAAGAAUAGACUAGUCCGACAGAUAACUAACCUAUCUAUCUCUAGUUUUAGGCUGCUUCGAAAGGAGGGUUGUAUACCUUACCUUAUGACGUAUUCAUGGUACAGCUAGCAAUCAACCUAACCAAAGAUAUAACCUUAAUCUACGCACUCAAUGCAAUCGGAUGCAAAGGAUUAUCAAAUUCUGUCUUCUUGGUACAUAGACCAUUACAUAGGGUUUAUUUUACUUCGAUUGUUAUUCUAAAAAAUAUAAAUAAUACAUUUCUGUCUUUUUUCACCAUUUUGCAAAGUUACGAUAACUAUGGUAUAUACAUGUAUAUAUAUAACGCGUCGCCAGUAAACUUAAUUUGCGACCAUCAAAUCCCCAAUUGAUGCCGUCGGAGCUUAAAAUACAAUACAGUUAUCUCCUGAAUCUAAUAUUUUUCGAGAGUGAAAUUGUAUGUCAAAGUGAAUACCAAUUGCAUUAAAUUAAUGCACUUUAUUUGCAUCGUAAAAAGGAUAUGAAUUUCUUGUUUUGUCGUAAAAUAUCUUACGCGAUGUAAUUCAAGCUCCUCGUCACUUCAACUUGCUACUUGUUUAAAACAGCCGAAUAAUUAAAAUAAAUGUUUUCUUUUUGUAGCCCCAUUAUCAAUGACAACUCCGAAGACUUCAUAUAAUACCGAAGUGACAAAAAAGGUCACACUUGCAGUGAAUAUCAAAGGAAACCCAACUGAGAUCAGGUGGUACAAAAACAAUGAGCUACUGAUCACGACAUCAAAUAAAUAUUCUGGUGGAACUAUAUUCGUUCCAGGACUGACUAUUAAAAAUAUCUCCGUGAGUGAUGCUGGCAUCUAUGUGUGUGAAGCAACGGAUGGCACGGAUACAGUUAGAACGAGUAUUAUACAAUUAUCUGUAAAAAGUAUGUUAGAUUAGCAUUUAUUCUUGAUCUAAUAUUUGUCAAGAUAUUUCUAUAUUAUAUAUCGAUUAAUUAUUUGAGUCAGAUUUUUGUACCUUAGUUUAAAGUUUACGUAAAAAUUCAUAAAAACCUGCAUUUUGAUCAAGAAAAAAAAAUUAAUGUUUAUGAAAAAAGAUGUCUUAUGCUUUAAUCUUAAAUGGGUUAAUAGAAGAGUUCAUUGUCAUUAAUUAUAUUUAAAAAAAAAUCCGUUUAAUCUUUAAAAGUUACUUUUUUACAGUUCUAUUAUUUUUAUUGUUUUUUUUAAGAAAAAAACACUUAAAAACACUUGACUUCUGAAUGUUUUUCUGUCUUAUUGACAUAGCCCUCAGUUUAGUCGAUUAACGACUAAUGAUCAACAGUAAACUACACUUUAUUCAGUGGCGGAUCCAGAACUUUUCCUAAGGGGGGGGGGGGGGCUGACUGACCUAGGGGGGCCCGCUCCAGUCAUGCUUCAAUGAUUCCCUAGUGUAUAAUCAACAAAUUUCUCCCACGAAAGGGGGGGGGGGGGCCCCCCCCUCUUUUCCCCCUGGAUCCGCCUAUGUUAUUAUGUAUGUAUUUUAAACUGUAUGCGAAAGAAGAAUACUAACCCCGUAAAGUUAACAUUGUUAUCUUAAUUGUAGUUCCGUUGUCAGUGAGAACCACAAAGACCUUUUACAACACAACAGAAACACGUACUGUUACAUUGAACGUAGUAAUUUCCGGGACACCUACUAACAUCUUCUGGUUCAAAAACAAUGAUUUGGUUGUUGCAUCGGGUCGAUUCUCUGGAGGAACAAUCUCUUCGCCUGCGCUGACCAUCCAAAACGUCAGUAUGAGUGACGCAGGUCAAUAUGUAUUGGAAGCAACAGAUGGCACUGUUACUGUUAAAACCAGACCAAUAUUUCUGUCUCCUAUAGGUAUGCUCAUCAUUGCUAUGAUCGUGCUUCGUUUAUUUUGUAUUUUACCAUGAUUGUUCACAGUCAAAUAUAGAUUAAGGGAGCAAUCCAAAUCCAUAGUAUUAGUAGGACAAACAACACCAUCGCAAGCAAAUAAAGUCAAUGCAUGGAUUAAAAAAAGAUUCGACAACGCCAUGGUAAACAAUGAAAACAUCUUUAACAUACUUUACACAGUUUACACAUACAUCGAUGCGAUGAUCAUGACUAACGAUGGUUUGAAGUCAAAAUGUCUUCCCCUAUCAAUCAUAACGCCUUUAAGUGUCUGUUCACAUUUUCUGUCAUUUAUCACGGGUGAUUUUCCCUUAUAAAAAUACAUACAACUGUUAAUAUUUUUUUUUUUUUGGGGGGGGAUGCAAGAAUAUAAGCGACUUGACGACGUUAAGAAGGAAACCAACAAUAGAUAGAUGUGAAAUUAUUCUGAAAUAAUGACAUCACCGUGUUUCGUUGAAUGGAUCUUACAGAUUUAAACAUUGAACUAAUAGGAAAUUAUUUUUGACAAAUAAAGAACACAAUUUACAUACAUUUAUAUUGAGAAUAGAAAUGGGGAAUGUGCCAAGGAGACAACAACCCGACCAUAGAACAGACAACAGCAGAAGGUCACCAAUAGGUCCCCAAUGCAGCGAGAAACUCCUGCACCCGGAGGCGUCCUUCAGCUGGCCCCUAAACAAAUAUCUAUAGUAGUACAGUGAUAAUGGACGACAUGGUAAACUCCAAGUAAAACACAAGAAACUUAAAUUGAAAAUCACGCAAGACUAGCAAAGGCCACAAGCUCCUGACUUGGGACAGGUGAUAAAAUGCAAAAAAAAAUGUAUAUAAAAGAUGUUUCCAUGACUAGAGAAUCAAUCAAAUACUUUUUCAGCUCAACUUAAAGUAACUGCACGGAAGAGAUUAUAUGAGCCUACUAUUGGGGAGUCGAUUACUUUGUAUAUCGACGUCACUUCCUCUAAUAUAAAAGAGGUCCGAUGGUACAAGGACAACAAACAGAUAUAUGUCGAUUCAGACUCCCGAUUGUUUGGAGGAAAUUCUCAAACUGUCUCCUUGAACAUCAAAAGUGUGAAACUAAGCGAUGCAGGGAAUUACAGCUGUUCAGUAACAGACGGAUUUGUGAUGAGAAAUACCAGUUACAUUACAGUAUCACCAAAAGGUUCGUGUUUUGUUAGUCCGUCCUUUCGUUCCAUGAAUAUUUUCAUCAUCUUUUUUCAGGAACUUCAUUACGAAGAUUUCCAAAAUUAAGUUUUAGGAUUGAUGUAAAUCAGCUUUGACGUGUGAUGCGUUUUUCAGAUUCACCACUCUAUAACUUCCUUUUUAACCAAACACUUGUAUAUUUUUUUACACAUUAUCGCCAAGUUGAGAAUGUUCGUAACAUUUUUCUUUUACUCCCGCUUUAAAAAAGUGGGGAUAUACUGUUUUACCUAUCUGUCCGUCCAUCAGUAAGUCCCAUGAAUGUUUUUGUCGCAAUACAGGGAUUUUUGAAAUUUUGUUUUAGGGUUUAUACAAGUCAGCAGUAUCAUGUGAUGUGUUUUCAGAUUCAUCACUCAUCAACUUCCUGUUUACGGAAAUAUUUGGGUGGGGUUAUUAUCAGUGAGCAGUCACUGUAGCUCGCAGUUUCACAUGUUCAACACAUGACAUGGGUAAAUCUCUUUGUUCUUACUGUGCUAUAAUCUGAAUAAUGCACAGCUAAGGUGUGCAUUAACUACCUCAGAUAUUCUGCACAGUUCAAAUGUAUUUUUAGCUUAAUAUUCCUAGAUAUUGAAAGGGGUGUUAUUCAGUAAAAUUAUAUAAAAUUCACCAAAUAGCGAUUUUGACAAUAAUAUGCUAAAACACUAUAAUACAGUAACAGAAAUUUUGGGGGUUGGGUUGAAAAAGAUUGGAUUUGGCAUAAACCGAUUUGAAAGUACAAAAUAUAGGUUAAAGUCUUAAUCGUCACUUAUUUAAAAAAAUAAAAAUGCUGAAUAAAUUUAGCAGAAACGAUAAAAAGAAUUGUACCAUUAAAUCGCAAUUAUUCAAAUAAAUUAACAAUUUAGGAAGAAGCCUUUUAAAAAAGCUUAUUAUUAAAAUCAACCUUUGAAUAAAAAUAUAGGCGUAUUUUCCCCCUUUCUUUAUCCAACAAGAAAACUUUCAUAAGAGCCGCUGUUUGCGGAUUGUCGUCCGCAUAUUUCCAAAAUGUUCACGUGAAUUGAUGACGUCAUGUGUUAAAACAGUUAUUGGCCAAUCAAGUCGGUAUAUACGAUUUAAUCUGCACGUUCUGGAUGACUCUUUAACCUGAACGUUCGGGUUAAUUAGGGUCAACAGAGACGUGCAGAUUAAAUCGUAUAUACCGACUUGCUGUUCGGGUUAAAGGGUAAUCCAGAACGUACAGAUUAAAUCGUAUAUACCGACUUGCUUGGUCAAUUACUAUAACUUUAUAAAUAAUUAUCUAGUUCAAUUAAAUAGGAAUUCAUUAAAAGAAUUGCCUAAAAUGCUUCCAGUCACAACGACUUUAUUAUUUUAAUAUUUGAAAUCUUUUUGAUAGCAACUCCAGAGAUUCCAACUCUAUCCGGUCCAACGCUUCUAACAGCAGGAACAACUGGUACCUGGACAUGUAUUUCAGUUGGUGGUUUCCCUCUUCAAAGUUUGUCAAUGAGAAUUGGUGAACAGGUUUUCAACAAUAACGAAUUGUCGACGUUUUCUCAGCAUGACAUAGUUCACAAGUCCUUCACAGUUAUAGGGAUACUUACUUGGACACCAAAGCUAGGUCACGAUGGACAACAGAUUUCCUGUGACGUUAAACAUCCUGAAACAUCAGUUAGUCCACAAACCGUUAGUUUGCCGUUGACAGUAGAACGUAAGUGUUAACAUAGUAAAGAUGUACACGCUAUUGUCUACGGAUAGGUUGCUAUCAAAAUAUGUGACAUUUUUACCUAUUGUUUUUGUUGUUUUGUUCACACAUCGUUGUCAAUAUAAUUGAAUUUGAUGCGACUGUCAUAGAAGUGAGAGGUUUAGCUAGCUUUAAAACCAGGUUCAAUCCACCAUUUUCUACAUAAGAAAAUGCCGUACCAAGUCAGGAAUACGACUGUUGUUAUCCAUUCGUUUGAUGUGUUUGAACUUUUGAUUUCGCCAUUUCAUUAGGGACUUUCCUUUUUGAAUUUUCCUUGGAGUUCAGUAUUUUUGUGAUUUUACUUUUUAUAUAUAGCAACAACAAAAAUCCAGUUUUAUCAAAACAAAAGUCCUUUGGGGUCACCACAACCCUCUCCUGUUUGAAUACUUAUAAAUGAUCGAGAUCCCCGCCACGAAACCAUAUAUAUUCUUGUAUGGGACAAAAAUUCAAAUCAAAUGAAUAUGGGACUAUAGGAAUGGCGAGUUAUUGGAGCUUUGUUUGGGAGACUUCCUAACAUCAUCCUGUUACAAUUACUUCUUGUUAUAUUGAUGAUUUACAGACCAGGUUGCAUUUCAAUAUACUUGAUGUCAUCGAGUUACCUUUGCAGUUUGAUUUUAUCUUUCAAAAUGAAAUGUUUAGACAGACACAUAAGAAAACGUUUUCGAAUAUUCAACUUUUAGUAGUUUUAAAAAGAUUCUUAAUUUGAAAUUUAGCCAAAACUAUAGAAUGGAUUCAACUAUUUUUUUUUUAAUCCAGUGGUUUUUUUUCAACAUUUACUUCUCAGUACCACGAGUUCCUUUACAAAAAAGUCGCCUGUUUUAUUAUGUUAUUUAUUUUUAAUACCAUGCAGAAGUGAGAAGCAAAUAUCGAUAUUAUUACUAAAAUAAUAAUUUUCUAUUAUAGCUUCAUUGACAGCAAUAGCUUCAAAAGUUAUGUAUAGCCAGACAGAGUCGUCCAUCGUAACACUGGACGUAAAACUUAAAGGAAAUCCGAAUAGAGUUAGUUGGUACCAUAAUGGAAAUCUUAUCAUUCUAUCCGGAAGAUUUUCAGGUGGUACUGUCUCUGUGCCCUCUCUUACAAUCACAAACGUCAGUACUAGUGAUGCUGGCCGUUAUGUAUUUGAAGCAACAGAUGGCGAUACUACAGUUCAGACAAUUACAAUAGUACUGUCUGUCAGAGGUAUUCUUAUAAGUAUUCCCUCAACGAUUGUUCAUUAAUUUUGUAUUCUAAAAUUCUAUUUUGUUAUCAAUCUAGUAAUUGGUAAAACUAUCUUUAGUGCGUCGCUUCUGCUUGAUUUUAACUGUUUAGAAAAAAAAAUAUACCUUAUUUGAUGAAAUAUAUGAAACACCCCUUCCUCACGCCGUCAUGAUAAUAUCAGUUCAGUCAAUUGUGUCGUCAAAGCAUUGAUUUUAUUCCUAAGCUUAAAGAACGCGAUAAGUUUUGAAAGCAUUCAUUAUUAAUUACCUUGAAAUGAAAUAAAAUAAAAGGAUCAACCAAAACCCUGCCUUCCUAAAUUUUUGAAUUUGAUCAUUACUUGUCAUAAAAUAUAUUGACGAUGUUGUAACAAAUGUUAUACCUUUUGUUUAGCAUUACUGGCAGUCAGGGUUAAAAAGACAUUAUAUGAGCCUGUGGUUGGAGAGUCUGUUGUUUUAGCGGUCGAAGUGAACUCUGUAAAUGUGACCGGUGUCAGAUGGUUUAAAAACAACCAGGAGAUAGAUGUUGCUUCAAACUCUAGACUGUCAGGUGGAAAUACACGAUAUCCUUCACUGAACAUACAAAAUGUGCUGCUGACUGAUGCAGGAAACUACGUCAGUUCCCUUACAGAUGGUGUUGACAUAAGAAAUACCAGUACCAUUAUUCUAGCCCCGAAAGGUGUGUCUUAUAUAUGUAAAUUUGCUGGAGCAUUAGUCCCUCUUUCUCAAUUAGUCACUUAAAGGAAACAUAUGAUGAAAUUGUUAUGCCCCACCUACGAUAGUAGAGGGGCAUUAUGUUUUCUGGUCUGUGGCUCCGUUUGUUCGUCUGUGCGUCCGUUCAGGUUAAAGUUUUUGGUCAAGGUAGUUUUUGAUGAAGCUGAAGUCCAAUCAACUUGAAACUUAGUACACUUGUUGCUUAUGAUAUGAUCCUUCUAAUUUUAAAGCCAAAUUAGAAUUUUUGACCCCAAUUUCACGGCCCACUGAACAUAGAAAAUGAAAGUGGGAGUUUCAGGUUAAAGUUUUUGGUCAAGGUAGUUUUUGAUGAAGCUGAGGUCCAAUCAACUUGAAACUUAGUACAAUAUGUUCCCUAUAGUAUAAUCUUUCUAAUUUAAUGCCAAAUUAGAUUAUUACCCAAUUUCACGGUCCAUGAAACAUGGAAAAGGAAAGUGCGAGUGGGGCAUCCGUGUACUUUGGACACAUUCUUGUUAAAACUGAUUUGGCUGAUUUAAUUUUCUCUCAACAAUUUAAGGACACACGUUACUAACCUAUAUAGACCCUUACUUCUUUUGUGUUUUGCUUUAUCACUAUAAAGAAUCGCUUUUAAAUUACAUAACCUUUGAUUUUACUUUGACCAAUUUUGUCAUUGAUGACGAUAGUGCAUUGCAACGUAUUGGAAACUGACCCUUGCGUUUUUUAUUACCUUAAGUUUCAAAUAUGAUCCCGUUUCGUUCAGGAUGAAAUUAUGAAAGGGGACCUUUUAAAAAUAUUCUGCUGUUGAAAGAAUUUCUCUGUCUAAUACAAGUAUAAUUCUUUUUUAUUUAUUUACCAUUGUGAUAAUUUAUAUCAUCAAAAAUACAUAAAAAAUACUUCUUGAAUAUCUAUGUAACACUCCAAAACGUUUCCAUCCCCAAAAUGUAUCCAGUAACCUCAAACGUGUCCUCAAAAUCCAAAAUGGCCCAAGUGUGUCUGAUUUUACAGUCCAUGUGGUAUUCCUCAAAACGUGUCAACCUUCAAACGCAAGAACUUUUUUAUCAAAUUUUCAGAUAAGAAAAAAAGAACUAUUGAAAUAUAUUUUUACGUUGUGUUUGUUGUUUUUUUAUCAAUCUGUUCUUGUUGUUUAAGAUUUCAAAUGAAAGUACUUAACGUUUUAGAAAUCGACGACGUUUUCUCAAUGCUUCAACUAUUGAUUAAAUGGUCAUUUAUAAGCAAUAGUGUGUUCAACGGUUGUUGUUAAUAUUUAGCGUGAUUGCAAGUUAAUUUUUAACACAAACUAUCUCCUGACUGUUGUUUAGUUUAAACAUAUUUAUCUAUAGUGGAUUGGGAAACAAGUUUUGCAACAUAUAUUUAUCCCUUUCCACUUUGCGGGUGCAAGUGCUGCCUUAUAGUGGCAUUAGCCUUCUCUUUUUCGAAAUCUACAAGGGUGUCUUAAACGUGCAAGAGAUACUCUCAAAUGGUGUCAAGGGAGAGCCGAAAUUCAGUCCCUAAAAUUUUCAUCCUGGAACGGGAAUCGAACAAGGAACCUUUGUGUUAGUAGUCCGAUGCACUAACCACUACAUCACGACUGUUGUUUCCUGAAUGUUCUUUGGAAAAUAUGUCAUGCUUAUUUCGAGACAAAACAUAAAAUUUGCAUGCAACAAAUUAGUUUUAUACAAUAAAAUUCAUCGUUUACUUUUAUAUAAUAUAUAAAGGUAUCUCACGGCCUGCUUAGCUUAGAAGAUGUGUCUGAAAUUUUAAAGAGACAUUGUCAAAUCUUUCCAACAGCGACUGAAUUUUCGGCUCUGCCUUGGUACCAUUUGCAAGUAUGGUCUUGAGAAAGAAGACAUCAGAAGGGGAAAUUAAAUGACUAACCCGUGUUAAGAGAGAACCAAACCUCUUGCACGUAAUAGACACCGUUGUAUAAUUCGGAAAAGUGCAGACUUGUGCCACUACAAGGCAAUAAUCUCACCCACAAAGUGAUUGAUAUAAGUUGCAAUAACUUAUUUACCAAUCCACUAUAAAUAAAUAUGCUUAAACUAAUUUUAUAACAGUGGACAAGUGUGUGCGUGUGUGUGUCUGUGUUUGUGUGUUUAAAAUACAAUUGAUGGUUAAUGAAAAAGAAACAUUUGACCGUAUAUAGAUUUGUUUGUCGGGUGUGAUAAGUUUGGGCGAAUAUUUAUGUUUGCAGUUCAUUAACUUUAUAUGGCACGUUUGAGGUAAUCGAUCACUUUUGGUGGAAUAAACCUGUUUCUGAGUGUUACAUGUAAUACAUGAUAUACAUUUAUAGAGCAAAUUUAUAUGAAUUUUAUGAUUAUAUUUCAUAGCAACGCCUGCAAUACCAACACUUUCUGGACCGACAUCCCUAACAGCAGACACAUUUGGUACCUGGACGUGUACAUCUGUUGGCGGUUUCCCUCUCCAAACUAUGUCAAUGAGGAUCGGUGGGCAGGUUUUCGAUGAUCAUCAGCUGUUGGUAAAUUCACAGUAUGAUUCAGACAGCAUGUCUUUCCGUGUCGUAGGGAUACUGUUAUGGGCACCAAAUAUAAGAGAUGAUGGACAAACGCUGUACUGUGAUGUUACCCAUACACAAACACUCAGCAGGUCUCAGACCACUAGCUUGCGAUUGACAGUAACACGUAAGGGUUAUACUCGUUUUGCUCAACCACAUUGUUAUUUGUCAUUAACAAUAUAUUUUACCUGGUGUUGCUCAACUUUGUUUAUGUGUUUUGUUUUUCCACACCUUACGCUUCUUUCACCUCUUUUAUGUAAUUUUAUUGCUAUUCUAAAAAAGAUCAUGAUCAACUGUAAAGUGGCAUGUAAUUCGUACAAUAUUUCAAACAUUUAGAAUUGACUGCUUUGGAUUAAGGUUAAAGUCAUAUGAAACGAGUGACUGGUGAACAAUAAUGUUUAUCCAACUCUUGAACGAAGGAAUGCAUAUAUCAUAAACUUCGUCUUCUGUGCACGAUUUUAUCAUUUCUUUUACGCAAACAUAUCGUAUAAUUGUCAAUUUUGUUGUCUCUGUCUGUUAUGAUGUAAUAGUAUGGCUGCUACUUGAUUGUCGUGUUUUGAAGACGUAGUUUACCGGUUGUCACCUUAUAGUAACCGUGUAUAAAAUGUACAAUCAGAUAAUGACAUAUUCAUGCGUAUUGCAAUCACAUGACUUUUACGAGAAGGGUAUCACUAAGGUCACAUGGCAUACGGAAAAUAAGUCGGUGAAUUUCUUCCUGUAAACUUUCUCUAAAUGUGGACAAAUUAAAGAAUGUUCUUAAAAAAAGUAUAUGUACAUAAAUUAUUAUGAAAACUAUCCAUCUAGUCUAUAUGCAUAUUAUUUUUUAAUUUGAGGUUUCAUAUGACUUUAAUUCCGAAAAGCUUUUGACCAAUGCAGGUUUGUUCCGAUCAAAAGCAUGACAAACAUAUGUGUCGUUUUUUAUUUGUUAAAUUCUUUCCAUUUUUUUAGAGAUACGAGAUUGUCGCUGUUUUGGCGUGGUUUUAUUUUACUUUUAUUGUUCAACUUCUUAAUAUUUUAAUAUUUUGAUAUCGCUUUGUUUAACAUUUUCACACGUUUUAUAUUUUUUUUAUAUAACAAUGAGACUAUUUUCAUUUACUGUUUUUAUGUCUGUCUUCCAUUUAAUCUGAUAAACCUAAAUAACACGGCAAUACAUUCUUAUUGGGUUUUAAUAUUAUUUCAAAAUACAGUACUAAUUUAUUAAGAAAUUAAGAAAUAAAUUUUCAAUAUUUCUUAAUUGAUACAUCAUAUACAUAUGAUAUUUUAUAGGGCCAUUGUUAGCUAGAGUAUCAACGGUCAUAUAUAGACCCCUGGAAGCUACAACUGUUACGUUGAACGUAGUACUUCAAGGAAAACCUACGACCAUUAAUUGGUACAAGAAUGGCCAAUUGAUUACAAUAUCCGGAAGGUAUUCUGGUGGUAAUGUUUCAUUUCCGGCACUGGUGAUAAGAGAUGUUUCUAUCAUUGAUGCUGGUAGUUAUGUUUGUGAAGUUUCAGAUGGAAAGACCACAAUAAGGACAAGCACAAUUCAGCUAUCUAUAAAACGUAUGCGUCUUUUUCUAAUUAUAUUGUGCAAUAUAUAAAACAUGCAAUCUCAUCUUAAGUACAAAAUAUGCUGAUCGUUUGCUCAUCAAAAUCAUCUUCAAGCCAGUCCAUUGUCUCGCUACCUUAACGUUAAUUCUUAGAUCAGUAGAGGAUUUGACAUAUAAUUUGAGAUGGAGAGUGGUCUUAUUGGAAAUUUUACAAUAAUUUCUUAUUGUAAUCUGUCCUCAAAUGUACAAAUUGUGAUGGAUGAUUAUGUAUCUCAUUAACUAAUACAUGCAAUUGCUUUUUUUUGCUUCGAUUUAAUUUAUUCUUAACAUAAUAAUUAACAUCUUCAUACUUAUAUAUACACAAUAUAUGAUGAUAAACUCAAGUUUCUUUUUCCGUAACUUUACGUUAAUACUACAACGCAGAUAACACUCUUUUAGUAUUAAGCUGAAAAUAAAAAGUAAAAUGACAAAAAUACUGAACUCUGAGGAAAAAUAAAAAAGGAAAGUCCCCAAUCAAAUGGCAAAAUCAAAAGUUCAAACACAUCAAACGAAUGGAUAACAACUGUCAUAUUCCUGACUUGGUACAGGCAUUUUCUUAUGUAUAAAAUGGUGGAUUGAACCUGGUUUUAUAGCUAGCUAAACCUCUCACUUGUAUGACAGUCGCAUCAAAUUCAAUUAUAUGGUUAACAAUGCGUGAACAAAACAAACAGACACAAUAGGUAAAAAUGUCAAAAAUAGGGGUACAGCAGUCAACAUUUUGUUUUCAUCUUAAUCACUAUAAAAACAACAAAUGUAACGAAGGCAUACAUGAAAUUUAACAUCCUCAUUUUGCUUAUAUUAUACAAUUUUAUUUAUCUAUGUAAAAAAAAGACACCCUAUUAUGUUAUAUUCUGUAAGAUUUCUAUUCAGGGAUAAAAUACGACAUUGAUCUGUCAAGUGUUUGUUAUUCAAUAAACACAUAAAAAAUAUUUACCAAGAUAACAAUUUGGUGCCCCAAACGUGCGUUCCAUCGAUAUACGACUCGUCUAUCAUAAACAUUUGAAGGGUAUAUUAAAUACAGAGUUUAAGAGUAUCGAAUAGUUAUCAAAGGACCCUUGAUUAUUAUUUAGUACGCUAGAUGCGCGUUUCGUCUACAUAAGACUCAUCAGUGAUGCUCAUAUAAAAAAAUAACGAAAAAUGUGACAAAAUACGGGUUACUCAAUAUAUCCCGGGGAAGAGGUAUUUCUUUAAGUUGGGAAUAAUGCCACAUUUUAUUCAUAUACAUGUAAGUAAAGAGAUUUGCCGAAUAUUGAUAAAUUCUAAAGUAAUAUUGUAUCACAUAUUCAUUACGAUUAUUGUUCGAUUAUCCUACGUUAUUGGAAUUUAUCUGUUGUAAUAUGUUUGCAGGCUUGUUUAUUUCUAAUGAAUGUUGAAUAUUUAUGUUGUAGCCAAACUGCCGGCAACAACUCCAAAGACAGUUGUAACCAAACUAGAAGUAAAAGCUUCAAAGACAUUUUACAAUCCCAAACAAUCAACAUCCGUUACAUUAAGAGUACAAAUCGAUGGUACACCUACACAGGUCGUGUGGUAUCAGAACGGUGAACUAAUAAUAAAAUCAGAAAGAAUUUCUGGCGGUACUGUCACAGUCCCUUCAUUGACUAUUAAUAACGUAACCAGAAGUGAUGCAGGAAGCUAUGUCUGUGAAGCAACAAAUGAAAUGGGUACAUUUCGAACAGCUAUAAUCCAGGUGUCUCCAACAGGUAUGAUUGUGAACAUCUUAUUUUAAUCUCGUUAAUUUCCCCCUAAACACUGUUUGACACACCAUUAUCAUAUAUCAUUUUCGUCACUUUUUACAACUUUUAUUACAUGUAUGAAUGAUGGGUUUAUAGCAUUCGUAGACGGCGAGUUGUAUUAUUUAUUUUCUAAUCUGUUACUGGUAAAAUUUGGUAAAAGAAAACGUCUUAAUUUGACGAUUUAGUGACGUAUUUUCAACUAGAACACCUAUGUAAAUGAUCUAUAGUACAUUUUAAGGAUAAAAGAGGUCAUGUAGGUAGCUGUACCUAACAAAUAAUUGAUUUAUGACUGUCGCACAUAUGUCCGAGAUGUCCGUGAUGAGAUGACGGACAGAUAGGAAGUCCAACUAUCGUCGUAGUUGGUCUCCAAAUGUACUGUAUACUUUCAACACAAAGUCAUUGAUAGUAUUGUCUUUUCUCGAUUAUUAAAACUUGAAUUAAUGUAUCAACAAAAUACAAGUUUUAGGAAAAAGCUUUGCUAAAUAGAAGCACUAAAGCUACAAAAUACUGAACUCCAAGGAGAACUCUGAACGGAUUAGGGACUUUCCGUUUGGGAUUUGCCUCAGAGUUCAGUAUUUUUGUGAGUUAACCUUUUAACCUUAUACCAACGUAAGUGAAUGUUUUUUAUUUCAACGGGUAUUUAUUUUUAAAUUGUAGUAACUCCUGAACAACCAAGUCUGUCUGGUCCAACAACUGUGACAGAAGGAAUAUUUGGUACUUGGACAUGUAUAUCUAUUGGUGGUGUGCCUCUUUACAAAAUGGAAAUGAGGAUCGAUGACCAAGUGUUUAGUAGCAAGCAUUUGUUGAUUAAUUCUCAAUUUGAUCCAAGCAGUUUAUCCUAUAGAAUUACAGGCAUACUUGUAUGGGCUCCUGACAUACGUAAUGAUGGACAAACGCUAUACUGUGAUAUUUUACCUCCAACGCAACCGAUUAGAAGAAAACGAAGCAGUUCUCAGAUCGCUAGCAUUACAUUGACUGUAAAACGUAAGAUCAAUAUAUUAAGCAAGUACGGUGUUAUCAGGUUCUCUUGUACUACAUUAUUUUCAACUUGAUUAACGUCAUUGUAUUACAUCCAUAUGAUGAAUGUUUUUCACACGAUACAUUACAGUUUCAUGUUUAUUUAACAUGUCCUACAAUAGAGUUAUGUGGAAAGAAUAAUUGUUAUUUCACAUUGAUUGAUUGGUGUACUCUUAUAUAAAUAAAUUUGGUGUAUUUACUGUCUUCUGAUUAGUUAAAAUAAUUAGCUUUAUUUUAAAUGUUAUCAAUUUUUCAUGGCGACACGCCCACUCUAACGUUGUGUAUUCAUACGCAAACAUCUGUGUACGUUGUUAUUUGUAUUAAUAUAUCUUUGAGCCUUAUUUUUGAGAGAAAUUUAAUGUGAAGAGUCAAAAAUUAAUUUUAUGGUUCAAUAAAUUCAAAAUAAAUAACAGCCAUUCAUCAAUUGGUUUGUAAAACAAUGAGUAUAUAAAGAAGAAGGUGUGGUAUGAUUGCUAAUGAGACAACUAUCCACAAAAGACCAAAAUGACACAGAAAUUAACAAUUAUAGGUCACCGUACGGACUUCAACAAUGAGCAAAGCCCAUACCGCAUAGUCAGCUAUAAAAGGCCCCGAUAAGGCACUAUAAAACAAUUCAAACGAUAAAACUAACGGCCUUAUUUAUGUUAAAAAAAAGGAACGAAAAACAAAUAUGUAACACAUAAACAAACGACAACCACUGAAAUACAGGCUCCUGAGUGUCUUUUUCUGUUUAUCAUUUUUUUUAGUGUUUAACAUUUAACGAAUUGGUAAACUAUAAUAUACUUUUGAUAACUAAUUAUAUAUGAUUUUAAGACCAAGGAAACGUACUUAUGCUUAAUCCUAUGAUUUUGAAAUCAGUAAAUAUAAGAAAAAUUAUAUAAUGGAAAAACAUAAUGAAUUAAGACAUUUUAAUUAAAGUCAUAAGAAACCUCAAAUUAAAACAAAUCAUGCAUAUGUUUUUUAUAACUAAAUGGAUAGUUUUCUUCAUACAACUUAUGUACAUAUACUUUUUUUCUGAGAAAAAUUCUUUAAUUUGUCCACAUUUAAAAGAAGUUUAUUUAUUUUUAAUUGCUUGCUUCCAGGAAGCAAUUCGCCGACAUAUUUUCCGUAUGCAUAGUGACCUGAGCGUAACCCUCCUCGUAAAACUCCGGCGAUCGCAAUACGCAUGAAUCUGUCAUUAAGAUAAACAAUUAUCUGAUUGUACAUGUUAAACACGUGCUCAAUAUCCAUGCAUUUUGUUAUUAAUUUACUGUAAGGUGACAAUCGAUAAACUUCGGCUUUAAAACACGGCAUUUAAUGAGCAGCCAUAUUUGUUAAAUCAUAACAGACAGAGAGAGAAAAAAAUUGACGAUUAUACGAUAUAUUUGCGUAAAAAAGACAAAAUCCUGCACAGAGUUCUAAGUUCAUGAUAUAUACAUGUAAUGGUUCAAGAAUUGGAUAAACAUUAUUUUUCACCACUCACUGGUUUCAUAUGACUUUAAUGAUUCUAUUGUUUGUAGCUGCGCUCUUAGUGAUUGUUGGAAAGAUGUUUUAUAACACAGAGGAGACAAAAUCCGUAACAUUACAAGUGAAUAUCGAGGGCACACCUACUGAGAUCCGAUGGUACAAAGAUAAUCAACUAAUAACAAUAUCAAAUAGGUAUUCUGGUGGCAAUGUGACAGUUCCUGCAUUGACUAUAAGAAACAUCAAACUUAGCGAUGGGGGUAUAUUUGUAUGCGAAGUAAUAAAUGAAAAAUAUACAGCUCGAAGCAGUGAAAUCAAAUUGACCCCAACACGUGAGUAAUAUACAUAUGAUGUUAAAUCAUGUCGAAAAAAGUCUCUAGGAUAUAUUAACACACAUAUAACUGUUUCAAUAGAAGCUGUUCUACCGUAGAAUUUUAGAACAUGGCUACUUUGGAUCAUAGUCUGACAGUUUUACCAACAGUAAAAAACGGACUGUAAACGCUCUUUCUUUAGAAACAAAUUUCUUUACAAAUAUCCAACUAGGUUAUUUGUUUGGUUUAGUUAUUAUUUAAUUUAUUGCUUACAUUCAUCUAAAAGUUACGUUUCUGAGAUACAAUAAUCAACUAUAAGUCAAUUGUGUUUGGAUACCUUCAGAUUUUUGCGAUACAAAGAAACAAAGGCUUACCAGAAAGUCUUAUGUAUGUUCUAUGCUAAAGAGUCUAAAAUAAACUACUUAUUGUAAUUUGGAAAUUGGUCAAGUAGGAAGAUGUGGCAUGAGUGCCAAUAGGACAUGAUGCAUGUGAUAUGAUUUCUAUAAGAUACCUUAAUUUCAAUAUUAUAGUGAUCAGUAAAAAGGCGAGAUUUUUAUCGUGUGUACUGUUAAAUGUUGUCGUUAACUUCAUAGUAUUAUUUAUGAUUCUUCCCAUGUCCAGGUAUAAAAUACGGACAACCAAAACAUUUUAAAGCCAUAAACGUGUGUCAGAUAGAAAUAAAAACGAAUCUUCCUCAGCAAAAACUAUUAAUUUGUUUGUAAAAAAAGAUAAACUGAUGUUUGUUCUUCAACAUAUUGUAUUCGUUAUUGCAGCUGUACUAAUAGUUAAAGCUGGAAGGACAUUAUACAAUCCAAAGGAGACAGAAUCCAUAACAUUGAACGUGAAUGUCGUGGGCACACCUUCACAGAUUAGGUGGUAUAAAAAUAAUGUACUAAUAACAAUAUCGAAUAGAUAUUCCGGGGGAAGUGUCUCAGUUCCUGCAUUAACCAUAACAAACGUCCAGCUGAGUGAUGUUGGCGAAUAUGUUUGCGAAAUAACAAAUGGAAAAGAUACAGCUCGAACAAGAACGAUUAAGCUCUCACCAACAUGUGAGUGUUCUUUCUUAUCUCUCAGUUUUCACCGUUUUAAUUGAUUAAAGCGUUCAUGCUAAUAUCAAUAAGAAUUAUAUGACAUAAUAUGAUAGUUGUGUCUAAUUUUUUCGGAGAACAAAUGCCCGUUUCAACUCGAAGCAAUGAACAUUCUACUCAUACUUAAGACUCGGACUUAAGUUGACAACUACAGUUUGGUAGUUUUCGUGUGUAUUGGGGAUUUCACGAAUAUGAACCUGCUAUUAUGAUAUUCAAGGGUGCUUAAAUUGCAUAAAAACCAACUAAUUUUCAAUGAAUAAUUAGUUAGACACAUAAAAAGUUCAAUAAUCUAUAAAAGCCAGUGACAGGACAGAGACAAACAACUGCCUACUUAACACAAUACAAAAUUCAGAUAUGAGUUGAAGCAAUCUUGAUCCACAACUAAAAUACAUGUUUGUUACCCUAGACAAUCAAAACGAAUGAGACGGGGUUGAAUAUGUUUCUUUUUCUUAAUCCCCCCUCCCCCAUACAUGGAAGCACAGUAAACAUCGCAACAUAUACUACAAACUCUAAAACUUAAAGAAUACAAAUAAACUCUUAAUAUGUUUUUGCUACUUUGUUUUGUCUUAUUUUAAUAUGUUUAAUAUUCAACUGUAUUAUUAAUACAUGUUUAUUUGGCAUUUUUGAUGCGUUUUCAUGAACAUAAAUUUAUCAUUCAAAUUAGAAACUUUCUAUAUUUUGCCCCAUCACUUUACAGUUUUUGAUAAUGCAGUCUGAUUCCUAUUAGUAAUGGUAUAAUAAGUAUUACAUCAUACUUAUGGUGUUCAAAAUCAAUGCUGUACCAUCGCACCCGAAAGAUCUAUAGAUACUUAUGGUGUUCAAAAUCAAUGCUGUACCAUCGCAUCCGAAAGAUCUAUAGAAUUUACUAUAACUGAAUCUAUAAUAAAAUUAAUGCUAAGAUACAUGAUUCUAAAACUGUGUAUAUCAAAUGAAUGUUUACUUGCGCUAAAUACGUCAUACAUGUUUGUCAUUAUGAACUGAUUCUCAAUAAUAUUUGUCCAAAAAAAUAGUUCUUUCUUUUUUUUUUACCAUGUACAUCAUAUGUAUCGUGAGGAUAUGGAGGGUCAUCAUAAUAAGAUAAGUAAACAAAUUGUAUUUUGUAUGCCCAACCUACGAUAGUAGAGGGGCAUUAUGAUUUCUGGUCUGUGCGUCCGUUCGUUCAUCCCUUCGUCUCUCCAUCUGUCCCACUUCAGGUUAAAGGUUUUGGUCAAGGAAGGUUUUGAUGAAGUUUAAGUCCAAUCAACUUGACACUCAGUUCACAUGUGCCAUAUAAUAUGAUUCUUCUAAUUUCAAUGUCAAAUUAUAGUUUUUACCCCAAUUUCACGGUCCACUGAACAUAGAAAAUGAUAGUGCAAGUGAGGCAUCAGUGUAAUGGGGACACAUUCCUGUUAGCCAUGAAUUUUUGAGAUAAAAAAUAUUUUUUUGUAAUUGAUAUGAGUGGAUAAAGCAAGGAAAAUUGAGAAUGGAAAUUGGGAAUAUGUCAAGGAGACAACAACCGGACAAAAGAGCAGACACCAGCCGCAGGCCACCAAUGGGUCUUCAACAGUUUGGAUUUUUGGAUUUUCAUUAAUUAUGGGAAUUGAGGACGAAAGAUCACCAUUUUUUCUUAACAACAAAAUGGGAAAACAUCACCAACAUGUAAUUAUUUACAAGUUCCAGAACUUUAUUUUAGGUAUAACAGUGUAAAGAAUUAGAAUAGUGCACGUGACAUUGUUGUAAACCGUCAGAGGAGUAAAACAACCUUGUUUAUUGCACAUGUGAUAUUAGCGGUUUCUUUGUCAGAUGGAAAUCAAUCUGAGUUCAUUGCAAACAAUUGAAACAAAUUAAUCAUCUCUGUUAUAAACUUACAUGAUUGGACUUACAUACUAUUUUUGCAUUGUUUGUAGCAAUUCUGUCAGUUGUAGCAGGAGUUACAGUUUAUGCACCAAUGGAGUCAGAAUCCGUAACAUUGAAUGUGAAUGUCGUUGGCACACCUUCUCAGAUCAAAUGGUAUAAGAACGAUCAACUAAUUUCAAUAUCCAAUAGGUAUUCUGGUGGCAACGUUUCCGUUCCGGCAUUGACUAUAUCAAACGUAAAAGUUACUGAUGGUGGUGAUUAUGUUUGCGAAAUAACCAAUGGGAAGGAUACGGUUCGAACCAGUAUAAUUCAGUUGUCUCCAUUAGGUGAGUCAUUCUUGUUUGAAACUACUUUUGUUUAAUUUGGUUUUUUUUUCCUUUUAGGUUGUACUCUCUCAGUUUACGAUAUAAUGAGGACAUUUUAAUGUUGUUUCAAAAUUGUUCUCAAUGUAAAAAGUAAAAUCACAAAAAUACUGAAAUUAGAGGAAAAUCAAUUUGGAAAGUCCAUAAUCACAUGGCAAAAUCAAAUAACAAAACGCAUCAAAAACGAAUGGACAAGAACUGUCAUAUUCCUGACUUGGUACAGGCAUUUUCAAAUGUAGAAAAUGGUGGAUUAAAGCUGGUUAUAUAGCGCUAACCUUCUCACUUUGAUGACAGUCUCAUCAGAUUCCGUUAUAUUUACAUUGAUGUGUUAACUAAACAGACACAAUAAAUAAAUUAGUCAAAAUAUGGGUACAUCAGUCAUCAUCGUAUUACAAUUUUAAAAGGAACAAUUUAACAGAACACAAAAACAUCUAUCUACAAACACAUAAACACAUAUCUACAGUUAUUGCUACAUGAACUUUAAAUUUGUCCAUGUUUUUUUUUGUGUUUUUGUUUAGCUGCACUAUCAGUUUUAGCUGGAAAGAGAUUUUAUAACCCGCAUGAGACUGAAUCCGUUACAUUAAAUGUCAAGGUCGAUGGCAAACCGUCUCGGAUCAGAUGGUAUAAGAACAAUCAACUAAUUACCAUGUCAAAUAGAUAUUCUGGUGGCAAUGUGUCAGUUCCAGCUUUGACUAUAACUAACGUACAACUUAAUGAUGGUGGUGAAUUUGUGUGCGAAAUAACCAAUGGAAAGUAUACAGCUCGAACCAGCAUAAUACAAUUGUCUCCAGCAUGUGAGUAAUCCAUAUUCAUUUAUGUUUUUCUGUUUAACAUAUGGUUGCUGACUUUUAAUUUUUCAAUUCAAUUCAAAGUUUUAUUGCCAUAUAAACCUUACAGUUUGUGACAUAUAACAACAACAAAAACAAAUAAAGACAAUAACUAAGUAACUCCAUAUAUAUACACAAAUUCAGGUAAAUAUUAAAGGGUCCCCUGUCCUCAGUUCCAUUGACUUUUUUAUAAAGGAUCCAUGUUUAUUCACUUGUGUUGGUGUUGAUGGGUUAAGUAUAUAUAUAACUUUGUCAUUGUCAGUGAGAUUAGCAAAUGAAUUACUUUCUCUGUUAAUGCAAUUAAAAUAUGUUAAUCUAAUAUUUGAAUUAUGUUUUUUGCAAAGACUCUCUUCGCGAGGAAUUUUAAAAUGCCUUCCUUUUUCAAUUAAUAAUGAAUGGGCACCAUCUUCAAAAUAUGAAAAAAUAUGAAAUCUGAUUUUAUUUUUAUUGAAUCAGAAAUGAAAGUGCUAUAAUGAAUUACUCAUUCGCUUUAAACAGCCAAUUUGGUUCUAAGUUGUCGAAAAAAUAAUAAGAUAAGAAAUACAAUUAAUGAACUAUUCAAUAGCAAGUGAUUGUUUUGACCUCAAUGAAUCUGUAUUCAUGUGACAAUUAGUUUUAACCCUUUAGCUGGAUAUUGGAUAAAAAAUAAAAUCACAAAAAUACCAAACUCAAAGGAAAAUCCAAUCGGAAAGUCCAUAAUCACAUGGCAAAAUCAAAUGACAAAACACAUAAAAAAACUAUGGAUAUGCAUGUAUUCUGCUAUUUUGAAUGGGCACUAGCUGUCAAGUUCGUGUUCAUCGAUAUGACUCAAAUUCUCAUAUUUGGUUUAUUACAAUGUAAAACAUUUGUCCAGAUUAUACAAAGUCUAAAAUACACAAUGCACUAGGCAUGGGCUCGAAAAUAUGUAGCCUUGUUUCGGGUGUAAUUGAGUUUAGACACCAUCUUAUCAACUGUCGAGUUGACCUCUGAUUGCCAUAUAGGCGAAUUCUAAGCUUAUUUUGACAAAAAAUUGAACUAAACUGGCUGCUAACAGUGGUAUUAUUUUACCUCUCCACUUUCCUUAACGGUUACGGUGACUUGAGUAACACCGGUAUCACUCAGAUUACAAUUGUACCUUGACAGGUAAUUUUGUAUUUAGCCUAUAAAAUACUUAUUUAGCCUUGAGAAUUGAAAGGUCAAUAGAAGUUUACCUAUGAGGGUCUGAAUGGGGUUUACAGAAUAGAGAAUACAUGUAAUAGCAACAAAAAAUAGAGAAUAGAGAAAAUGAACAACAAAAUAAAGAAUAGAGAAUAAUGCGGUGCAAAAUUAUAAAGAAUAACUGUGCAAAAUAAGUGAAAAGGUAACUGUAAUGCAAUACUGAUAAUAUAACGGUCAAUGUACAGAAUUGAUAAAUAAUCUUGUAACAGAAAGACUAAAUAGUAAAAUCAUUUUCAUGAGAAUUUUACAGAAUGAGAGUUAUUUUUAAGGCUAUUAAAAGAAAAAUGCCCUAAAAAUUUAAAGAAUACAGAUAUUAAAAAAACCCAAUCCAGGUCCUCAUGUCAUUUUACAUUGUCAAAAUAUAGGACACACUAUUGUUAUUCCAAGACUAUACUAGACAUUUAGUCAAACUGGUUUUAAACUAGACAUCUAGUCAAACUGGUUUGGUAUAACUGACUGUUUCUUACCCUAGAUGUCUAUUUCACAGUGACCUUAUGUGUUUGUGCUAAGAGUACAUUGUACUGUCAUAUUUAUUGAUUUUCUGUUGGGACAUUACAUACAUUGUAAACAUGCAAAACAGUGGCUCGAGAUUUCAAGUUUAUAGGAAUCAAUAUAAUCUUUAAAAGUUUAUUCUAUAUGAACUGAUAUUAGUAUAAUAAAUUAAUAUUUUGAAUUAUAUAUCCUGGUUGAUGAUGUUUGUUUUUUUUGGACCAAGAUGUUUUCUUCAUUCUUGUUCACAUUAUGAUUAUUUUAACCUUCAAUGCACAUUAAAAAAUAGAAAAAAAAUAUCAGCUCUCAUUUAGAAUAUUUUGCAACUAAAUAAUAAUCUGUCAGAUUUGGUACAAACAAAAAACAAGACAUUGUAAUAGAUAACCUGCAAGCGAAGUCCAUUUCUAUAAAGUCAAGCCGAUUUUUUUUAUAUACUGAAAAAAACUACCAUGUAAAGAAAUAUGCAAUUAAAGGCCAAAUAUAACCCCAAAAAUUCAACAUUAACAGAUUUUGAACAAUCAGAUGUUUAAGUAUUGGUCAGAAUAUAGGGUUCUGUUGUACUUUAACAAUAUCACAGUAACAAUAAAGUGACCUUAAUUUUGGACAAGGUAAAUGGCAUGAAGCCAAAUGUAUAAACUUCUAUUGUAUGAAUGGGAUAAACUGACCUUUCAAUUCUCAAGGCUAAAUAAGUAUUUUAUAGGCUAAAUACAAACUUACCUGUCAAGGUAGAAUUGUAAUCUAAGUGAUACCGGUGUUACUCAAGUCACCAUAAUGUAUUUUCAUGCCCCACCUACGAUAGUAGAGGGGCAUUAUCUUUUCUGGUCUGUGGGUCUGUUUGUUCGUCCGUCCGUUCGUCCGCUCGUUCGUUUGUUUGUUUGUUCGUACGUCCGUUCGUCCAUCCGUUAGUCCCACGUCAGGUUAAAUUUUUUGGUCAAGGUUGUUUUUUAUGAAGUUGAAGUCCAAUCCACUUGAAACUUAGUACACAUGUUCCCUAUGAUAUGAUUUCACGGUCCAUUGAACAUAGAAAAGGAUAGUGCGAGUGGGUCAUCCGUGUACUUGGGACACAUUCUUGUUUUAGUUGAUUGUAUUAUUUUUUAUUGUUACAGUACAUCGUAAAUUGUCUCAUUUGUACGACGAUGUCUUUGUUGGAUUUUCGUUUUCAUAUGACAAUUUCAGAUGUAAAUACUUCUUCAAGCUUGAAGGUGUUUUUCAUUAGUCGUCCUUUAAUUAAUGCAUGUAUAUUUGCAGCUGUUCUGUCAGUUACAGCUCGAAAGACGUUGUAUAAACCUAAAGAGACCAAAACCGUCAAAUUGAAAGUAAAAGUCGUAGGAACACCUUCUCAUGUCACCUGGUAUAAAAACAAACGACCUAUUACAAUAACAAACAGAUAUUCUGGUGGCAAUGUGGCAGCUCCUGAUUUAACUAUUACAAACGUUGAGCUUAGCGAUGGUGGGGAAUAUGUGUGCGAAAUAACAAAUGGAAAAGAAACAACUCGUACCAGUAUUAUACAAUUGUCUCCAAGAUGUGAGUUUGUCAUUAGAAAGGCUAAUAAUCAUCAAAAUUUAAACACAACUAGAUGGAUAUAUUUCAACAAAUUGAAUUAUUAUUUAUCUUCUGAUGUAACAAUUGCAAAAUUCGAUGUGAAAUAUUCCUAAUGCAUGUAGAGCAAGACCUUGGUUGACUUGCUUGUUUUGUUUGUAUAUUUUUCAAUUGUUCUUGGGAUAAAGUCAAUCAAAUUUAUAGAUAUAUUAGUGAUCCUACAUAAUUCGUCAUUAUAAAAAUUCAUUGUAACAUAUAUACAGGGUUAAAGUCAUAUGAAACCUCAAAUUAAAAAAAAAUGAUGCAUAUGUUUAUUAUAAGAAGAAGAAUAGUUUUCAUUAUCAGAUUAUUAAACUUAUGUACAUAUACUUUUUUUCUGACGAUUUUUUUUUGUCCACAUUUAAAAGAAGUUUACUUUUUUUUAAUUGCUUCCUUGCAGGAAGCCGACAUAUUUUCCGUUAUCAAAUUGACCCUCCUCGUAAAAAUCCGUUGAUCGCAAUACGCAUGGAUCUGUUACUAAAAAAAUAUUAUCUGAUUACACAUUUUAUACAUGUGCUCAAUAUCCAUGCUUCUUUGUUGAUUGUUUACUAUAAGGUAACAAUCGGUACACUACGGUUUUAAAACACGAUAAUAAAUGAGCGGCCAUAUUUUCACAUCAUAGCAAAGAAAAAAUGACGAUAAUACGAUAUAUUUGCGUAAAAAUUGAUAAAAUCGUGCACAGAAGACUAAGUUUUUGAUGUAUACAUGUACAUGCAUUGGUUCAAGAUUUGGAUAAACAUUAUUUUUCACCAGUCACUCGUUUCAUAUAAAUUUAGCCAUGCCUAUGUGUAUAUAUUGUUUGGAGAUGUCAAUCUUUAUAACAAAGUUUAAGUAAACGUUUAUGCAAACAAAACACAAAAGCCAAGGUUUACUCUGCACAAGCAGUAAUUUUUUAUAUCUAAAUCCUUAUGUAAGUCACUAACAUAGAAAACGUUGGCCUUACAUAAAAUAUUUGUAAAAAAGCAUCAUACCUUUUUUAUACAAAAUCAUUGGUUACUGCUGCUACAGAAAUGGUUAUUUAGGGCUAUCUUUAGACGUUCCUAUAACUGCAUGUCCUUAAAAACAUAAUUGAUUGCUAUUUUCUCAGUUUUAAACGGGAAAUAUAUCAUAAAGCAUUAUGAAAAUGAUUCUAGCUGCUACUUAAUAUUAGUUGCAUACAGUGUAACUACAUAUAUCUAUGUCUAUUUUGUGACAUGUGUAUAGUCUUCUAUUGCAUUUAAGUAUUGGGGAACAUAAUAUUUGGAUGAAAAAGCUGUACCUCUAUAUACGGGAGAUCUUACUUUUGUGUUUUAUUUGAACAUUCUAACAAAUUAAUGCUAUCGUAAAAAAACAUUAUUUAAUAAUUUCAUUUAUAAAUUCUGUAACUUUAUUUGUGUAUUGUACAUGGGAAGAAUUAUUCUACAUAGUUUAUGUGUAGUAUCCAUUUGUACAAAUGGAAUUCAAUCUUUUAUCUUAUAGUACUCAGGUUAUGGGUCUUAAAUAGUAUAUACAUAUAUAUUCUUUGUAGCGAUGCUGAAAGUUAUGACAGGAGAUACUUUAUAUACCCCUAAAGAGACAGAAUCCGUUACUUUGAAUGUAACAGUCAUCGGCACACCUUCUCAGAUCAGAUGGUAUAAAAAUGACCAACUAGUAAAAAUAUUGGGCAGAUAUUCCGGUGGCAAUGUGACAGAUGCUGCUUUGACAAUAACUAACGUCAAACACAGUGAUGGAGGUGAAUAUGUGUGCGAAGUUACAGAUGGAAAGGAUACAGCAAAAACAACAACAAUCCGGUUGUUCCCAUCAUGUGAGUUUAAAACAACCAAUAAACUGUUUUAGUGUAUAAGGGAGCUACCAUUUGAUUUUUAUGGGGGGGGGGGGGGGCUAGGAUGAAAUUUGAAAACAAUAGGCAGGACAGGAGUUUUGAGUAAAAAGAAAGGCAGGAUGAGACACUUGCAAAAAAAAAAGUCAGGACGACAAUUUAGGUAAAAAACCGUCAGGAUAAAUUAAAAAAAAAGGCAGGACCGAACAGAGUGAAAAAUAAAAAGGCAGGACAGAGAUUACAGCUAAAAAAAAAUGCAGGACAAAAUUUUUCAUCCUAGCCCCACCCCCCCCCCCCCCCCAUAAAAAUCAAAUGGUAGCUCCCUAAAGCAUUAUGCAUAUUAUGGUCGACAUUCCUCAACUUUCAUAAUACAAAUAUAUUCAAAGCAACAACUCGAAUUUCACAUUUUUGACAAUACACGCAAAAAGUAAGAUCACAAAAAUACUAAACUCCGAGGAAAAUUCAAAACGCAAAGUCUCUAAUCAAAUGAUAAAACACAUCAAACGAAUGGACAAAAACUGUCAUAUUUCUGACUUGGUACAGGCAUUUUCAAUUGUAGAAAAUGGUGAAUUGAACCUGGUUUCAUAGCGCUAAAUUUUUCACUUGUACGACAUUCGCAUCAAAUUGCAUUAUAUUAACAACGAUCCGUUAACAAAAUUUCACAAAUAGGUGAAACUACAACACGAACCCCACCACAAACCUGAGGUUAUUUUAGAUGUUCUCUAAGGGUACACAGGUCCUGCUCACACGUGUCACCCGUCGUGUUGCUUAUAUGAUUGUAAAGCCGAUAAAUAGUCUAAUUUGGUAUGUCACAUUUGUGAAAAGGGAACUGGAUUGUAGUUACGGCAAAUAACAUUACUAUUUAAAUUUUAACUUAAAAGGGUUGAAUAAUUUGUUUAAAUACUACAUACUAGACAUUAUGCUAUUUGAAAUAACUGCUCUUUAGUCGUUUGUUAUCUCAAUCACAUAUUCUUCUCUGAUUUGUUGCAGUUUUUUUUUGUGUAUAUAGCCUCAUAUAUAUUCGUGUCAAACAUGUUUUAGUGAUUGACGGCACAGCUAACGUACUUUUGCGUCACUUUUAGUAGACUUUAUCAAUAUCAAACAAUACCUUUAAUAAUACCAGAUCUUAUCACUUAUUCUUAAGGGAGCGAUUUCAUAAGUAUUCAUGCAUAUUUGCAGUACUAUCUAUAUAACGUCGAGGGGUGUGGAUGUGCUCGGUUGCCAAGUGGUCUAAGUAGUUCUACUACUGUUAUCACUAUCUAGUCCACCCUUGAGGUUGUUAGUUAGAACCCCGAUGGUGCGGGUGCACUCGACAUCAAUCUUUUUUGUCUAGGAUUGUCAGUUAUCCUAUCGAAGGUCGGUGCUUUCUUCGGGCUCUUACGCUUCCUCCACUAAUACAUUUAAACCUGAACGCCACAAAAUAGCGCAAGAAUGGCGCUUAAAAUUGCCGUUAAAACACAAAUAAUCUAUCAAUCUAUUACGUCUUAGCAACAUACAAUAUUGUAAAAUUGAGAAUGGAAAUUUGGAAUGUGUCGAAGAGACAACAACCAAAGUAAUAAAAAAUGUGUUCUUCUUUCGUAUUUGAAUAUACAAUCUCUUCAAGAUGGAAUAAUCAAAUAGCGUAUUCCUGCUGUACACAGCCUGAUUAUUUAUACAAAGGCAUCCGAUUAUUAUAUUCAAAGACGUUGUGCAACACUUUUGAUAAAAUGAAUAUUUACAAACAAAGAUACACAUAAUAUGCAGAUUUUUUAGCUGAUAUUGGUUGUCUGUUAGCUUCAUGUUAAAGCUUUCGAUUAAGGUAGUGUCUUUAUAAAGCUGAAACAGUUUAUACAGGCUCCUUAUGUAACGAUCUUUCUUAUUUUUAUGCCAGAUUAAAGUUUUACUGGAUAUAGACAGUGAUAGUGCAAGAGGGGCAUCCGUGAACUUAAUUUACACAUUCUUCUUGCAUAAUUUUAAACACAAAUGUAAAUAUCGAGAAGUAAAAUAUAUAUGAAUCAGCAAUGCACGACUAAUCAAAGUUGUCUAUGUAUUUUUAAGUAUUCUCGUUUCAAACCAAACAUCUUAAAAAACACACAUACAAUGUAUCGUUGUGAUGAUUUAAUGCAGAAUUAAAUAAACCCAAUUAAGAAAAGUUAAUUGACAAGCCUCCUCUUAAGAAUCGUAUUAACAUUUGUGUUAGAAACAUGUGCAAAUAAAAGUUUGGUCCUUUUUUUUCAGCAAACCUUUCAAUUGUAGUUGGUAAGAUAUUUUAUAACCCAAAGGAGACCGACACAGUUACAUUGAACGUAAAAGUCGUAGGAAUACCAUCGAAGAUCAGAUGGUAUAAAAACAAUCAACUGAUAACCAUAUUGAACAGAUAUUCAGGUGGUAGUUUGGCAGCUCCUGCUUUGACUAUAACAGACGUCAGACUAAGUGAUGGUGGGGAAUAUGUGUGCGAAGUAACAAAAGGAAAGGAUACAAUUCAAAGCAAUACCAUACAAUUGUCUCCAAUAUGUGAGUUAUUCUAUCUUAGUUUCAUUUAUUACCCCAUAUUCUGGCAUUGUCAAGGGGAAAGUCGCAUUACAUCACAUAAUUGGCUGUUGUUACCUGUAAAAAAAAACCUGAUUAAGGCAUAUAGGCAUCUCGUUACUACAUGACAGUAUGAUAAUAUACUCACAUACGAUUUUUUUAACAUUUCAGUGGCAAAUAUGUAAUUUGGUUCCCUUGUCAUAAACAUGAUAAAGUACUCUCGUCCUUCUUUGAUUAAACAUUUUUUAACUUUAUUAAAUGUUGUAAUAUAUUCAAAUGCUUCAAAACAAAAACAAAUGAAUGAAAGUGGAUGCAAUAUAUGUAUCAGCCUACGAUGAACUUAACUAAAUAUUGGCUUUAAAUCUUGUAUUCCGAACAGUGAAUUAUAUUUAGUGACAUUGAUAAAGACAUGUUUCGAAAAGUUUUUCUAAUGGAUAAAGGCGACAGUGGUUUGUCGAUGUUCAAAUCUAGCAAAACUACAGCUAUGCACGCAUCCUCCAUGUAAAUGCCAUUAAAAAAACUAAGUAAAAUUUAACAAGAAUGUUUCUAAAUGGUUGACCUUUAUCCUUUUAUACAUUGAAUUCCUUAUUAUCAUGUUUAUACACAAAAGAUGGACAAAUAAUAAAUAUUAAACUGUAUUUAUGUAUUUUUGUAGCCAUGCUUUCAGUUAUAGCUGAAAAGAUAUAUUAUAAUCCAAGGGAGACGGAAUCAAUAACCUUGAAAGUGAAUGUGGAGGGAAAACCUUCCAAGGUCACGUGGUAUAAAAACAAUCAGCCAAUUACAAUAAUGAACAGAUAUGCCGGUGGCAAUGUGGCAACUCCUGCUUUGACUAUAACAAAUAUUCAUCUCAGUGAUGGUGGCGAAUAUGUAUGCGAAGUAACAAAUGGAAAGGAUACAGCUCGAAGUGGUACAAUGCAGCUGUCUCCAGCAUGUGAGUAACCCGUGUAUUUUUUCUAAAUUUAGGAAUUGUUUGGCAAACUCCUGACGUAUUUAACACUUUACGGAGACAUAGAAAUAUUUUUUUAGUCAUAAUGACCAUUAUACAUAGGAUAUAACUGUGAAUGUGAACUGGGAAUGUGUAAUUGACACAAAAUCCUAACCAAAGAGCAGAAAACAGUCCAAGUUUAUCACUGGGUCUUCAACGCAACGGGAAAAUUGUGUAAAAGUAAACAAACAUCACAUGCGAUUUGUUUUGUUGUGUUUAACGCCACUUUUAUGUCCCGUUUUUUGUCUAUUUCAUGGCGGCCAGUUUUGAUGGAGGAAACAAACCUUCAAAAGGAAAAUUUACAAUCUUAGUCAAUUAAGUUUGGAUUCGAUUGAACCUGCACGAGCGUGGUUCGAUUUCACAACCUCAGUGUUGACUGGAUAGUGAUAACAGUAGUAAAUACUUAAACCACUCAACCACCGAGGCCUCUACAUCACUGAUGAAUUAUUCACAUGAAGGUGAAUAAUUCGACCAGAUUGAAUCGGUAUGCAUGUAAUCUUAAAUUAAACCACUUAUUUAGAGAUGGGUUUUGCAUGAAUUAGGCGUUUUCAGUUAUCAAAAGGAAAUAAUUAAAUGUUGGAAAUGGAACACGGGUUAAACAUUGAUUUGAUUGACCGGUUCGAUAAAAAAACCUCCGUCUUAUAUAUAUAAACCGAUAAUUACUACCAAUUUUUAACCUAUUAAUAUACGAUAUCAAACAGACCUUUUAAUUAAUUUCAACUAAUUCGCUAUCUAUUUAUAUAUUUAUUAUGUUUAUAUCGGGUAAAAUUACUAUCGACAGUCUUCGGUAGUCACAUCAAUGAUUACCUAGAUAGCGCCUAGACUUGCAUACGCACGAAUUGCUGAGUCAUAUUAUCGAGCAAGUGCAUGUUAAUUUGUUUAUUUCAGACUUUUUUUAAUUUUGAUAUACGUUUAAAAUAUAAAUAUGAAAAUUUGAGUCAAAUAUGUGAGCAUGAAUUUGACAGCUUAUUUUCCUAAAGUGACACGUUUCAUUCGAUAUUUUUUGUUGUUAUUUUUUUUUAAAUUGUUAUUGUUUAUAUAAGAAUUGCUUUGGUAUUGUUUAUAUAAGAAUUGCUUUGGUAUUAUUCAUGUAUUUGCAACCAGCAAACAAGUAAUCACCAAUUAAUAUCUACAGAUAGAUGUUAUUUGAAGUGAAUUUUGAUAGGGGUUCCUUCCUCUUCAUAACGAAUUUUCUUUUUUUGCAAUUAUCAAGACAAUUAUAUAAAUUGUGAGAAAUUGUCAUUGCAAACUAAAGGCUACAGUAGUAUACCGCUGUUCGAAACUCAUAAAUCUAUAGAAAAAAACAAAUCCGGGUUGCAAACUAAAACUGAGGUAAACGCAUUAAAUAUAAGAGGAGAACAACGACACAACAAAGACUUUCAACAAGACCACGUCUUGUAAAUGAUGGAUGUAGUCAUUUGCAGUUUCCUCCAUUAUUUUGUAUCUAGGUUUUUAGGGCAGAAGGCUAAGUUAUAAGAUGUAAGGCACCUUUUCGCGUAUUUUUUAUCCCUACAAAAUAGUUGUUUUAUAAACAUAGCUUUGGGUUUUUAAUUUUGAAUUGUCUGUUAUUUGUCUUCCUUUUAUCCUUGUGUGCUGUGACUUUUCAAUUUGAAAUAGAUUUUUUAUUCAUUGAAGAUGGAACAAUGACUAACAGUUGUUAAAAUAUAUUUUUCUAUCCUAAUUUAUAUUUUCUUAUUGGCAAUAAUAUCACAUUUUAUAAUAUGUUAUUGAUCUUUUUAAACAUCCUUCGAGUGAAUGUGGAUCAAUAAAAAAAACUUGGGAGUAUAUUUUUGUUUGCUAUAUCAGCGAUACAGUCUACUUGGAGCCUGUAUUUUAAAACAAACGAAAAUAGUGUAAACAGAACAUGCAAUCGUUUCUUUGACAGCUUCAACCGUUAAAUCAAAAUGAUAAAUCAUUAAUCCUGUUAAGCAUAAAUAAAUAAAAGAUUUUUAUGUUAUCUUUGAACGUUUUGUAGCAAUGCUGUCAGUUAAAGCUAGAAAGACACAUUAUAACCCAAAAGAGAAAGAAUCUGUCACAUUACAAGUUACUGUCGUAGGCACACCUUCUAAGAUCAACUGGUACAAAGACAAUCAACUAAUAACAAUAUCGAAUAGAUAUUCUGAUGGAACUGUGUCUGUUCCUGCACUGACCAUUACAAACGUCAGACUUAGUGAUGGUGGUGCAUAUGUGUGUGAAAUUACAAAUGGAAAGGAUACAGCUCGAACCAGCAUAAUCAAGUUGUCUCCAUUAUGUGAGUAAUUCGUCUUUUUUUCUAACCUUUGGAUUUUGUUUGGCUUUGAAUGAUUUGAUUGAAUUUUAUGGUAAUGUUUGCUGUUUAUACAUUCGUUCACUCGGCUAUUUUCAAACUGUUUUGUGUAAGGGUUACUCCAUUGUAGCUUGUUAUUCCCUUAUACACCAGAUAAUGUUUAUUCUUUCGUAUGUGUCCACACCAGGCAUUAUAUAUUGUCCACAUUACGUAAAGUAAAAACAAAUUUUUACUUUUGAAAAUAAUAAUAUUAAUGACGAUCUUUUGUUUUUCUCGAGCCUGCGACUCUUGUUGGAGAAAGCUCGACAAAGGAAUAGUGAUCCGGCGGUGGCGGCGAUGGCGACGUUAACUGACUUCUUAAAAGCUUUAUAUUUUAGACUUUAGAAUACCUGGAUGCUUCAUACUUUGUAUGUAGAUGCCUUAUGUUACGAAAUUUCCAUCAGUUACAUGACCAUAAACCUUGACUUUAUUUUCAUGGUUCAGUGACUACUUGAAAAAAAGUUGUAAUGUUAAAUUCUCUUUUAUUAUGAGUAACAACAUAAGUAUAUCUGGUAUGGGCGUACCUUGCAUACCCGUCACACUGUUUUCCCUUCACCUCGACCUCAUUUUUAUGAAUCAAUGCACAAGGUCACGUUUUUGUGGUCAUGACAUUAUCUCAGAUACUAUAAGCAAUAGGUCUAGUAUAAUUGGUGUCUUGAAGGAUUGUAAGGUGUACAUGUCUAACUGGCAGAUGUAAUCUGACCUUGAGCUUAUUUUCUUGGUUCAGUGGCUAAAGUUAAGUUUUUGUGUAUUGGUCUGUUUUUUUGUACUUAUGCAACAGAUCUACUGUAUUUGGUGUAUGGAAUGAUUGUAAGGUGUACAUGUCCGAUUCGCAGGUGUCAUCUGACCUUUGCCUUAUUUUUAAGGUAAAGCAGUGGUCAAAGUUUAGUUUUUGAGUUUUGGUCUUUUUAUUUCUAAUAAUUUAUGCAAAAGGUCAACUAUAUAUUUGGUGUAUGAAAAUAUUGUAUGAUGAACAUGUAAGCCUCGCAGGUUUUAUUUGCACUCGACCUCAUUUUCGUGAUUCAUUGCAUAAAGUAAGUUUUUGUGUUUUGAUCUGUUAUUCAAAUGAUAGGCAAUAGGUCAAAUAUUUAUAAUUCUUGUAUUGAAGAAUUGUAAGCUGUAUAUGUCAUAAAAUUGAAAAUAGAAAUUGGGAAUGUGUCAAAGAGACAACACCCGACCAUAGAACAGACAACAGCAGAAGGUCACCAACAGGUCUUCAGUUUGAAAGGUACCAUUUGACCGUGACCUCAUUUUGAUGGUUCCUUGGUCAAAUUAUAUUUUCAUGGUUAAGUUUGCUUCUUUUAGAUUCUUUAGGCAUAAGGUCUACUAUAUUUAAUGCAUAGCUUGAUUGUAAUGAGUAUAUGUCUGCCUGGCAUGGUUCAUCUGACCGUGACCUUAUAUUCAUGGUUCAUUAGUCAAUGUUUUGUUUUCUUGGUUGAGUCUCUUUCUUAGAAACUAAGCAAUAGGCCUCAAUAUUUAUUUUAAUUCAUGAUUGUACGGUGAACAUGUAUUUCUCUUUUGGUUUAUCUGACCUUGACAUCAUUUUCUAGGAUCAUGUUAACUUUAUGGGAUAGUGGUAGAAAAUCUUUAUAUUUAGGACUAUCAACAUGAUAUCAAUGGUCAGUAAAGAAGGCGAGACAAUUCUGCGUGUGACCUCUUGUUAUUAACGUUAUUCAUUUCUGAACACAUUAUUAAAAUAAAUAUUUAUAUUUUAUAUGUCGAAGUCCAACCGUUUCUAAACCGCUUAUUUUGAUAACAUCUAUUCAUUUCUAAUAAAUAUAUUAAAACAAAUAUACUGAGCGACAAAAGAAAGGAUACACUUUUAUUUUUUUGAUAAUUUAAAAAAAAAUAAAGAUAUAAAAAUUAAACUUAAUACACGCGUUAAUUAGGUAAAACUACGUCCCAUACAUAUGGAUUUUUCACCUGUACAACAGGUGAGUUCUUCACAGUAUUUAAAUUCUAAAUUUGGAAAAUUUGCACGUGCAGAGAAAUCUGUUAGUAAAAUUCGACUUAAUUUGAUGUUGUUCAACAUCUGUUACUGUAUCCAGUCGUAAGUUCACAAAAUUUCAAGAAAAAAAUUUCAAAAUGACCCGACUUACGCCCGCACUACGGGAACGUGCAAUUGGCAUGAUUCAAGCCGGCAUGGGUAUGACUGCCGUGUCCAGAGCAAUUGGCUGUAAACGUUUGACAUUAUAUCGGCUACAGCAGAGAUUCCAAGAGAACUGGAUCUACGGCGGAUCGACCUCGCUCUGGGCGGCCACGGGUAACAACAAUUGCUGACGACAGAUUCAUCCGUAUACGGCAUUUGAGGGAUAGGUUUAUGCCUCCUAGGGCAUCGACUGGUGUUGUUCAGGGCAGACGUAUCAGUGCACAAACAGUCCGUAGAAGACUCCGGUCUUUUAAUCUUCGUCCUAGACGUGCUUAUAGGGGACCGACACUGACACAACGACACAGACAAGAGCGGUUAAGAUGGUGCCAAGCUCGUUUACGAUGGAGACUCAAUAAUGAAUGGAGCAAUAUUUUGUUUUCUGAUGAGUCCAGAUUCACUCUUCAGCAUUCAGAUGGUCGAGCAAGAGUCUAUAGACGAUCAGGUGAACGAUUUGCAGAUUGUUGCGUCCAACAGCAUGACAGAUUUGGUGGUGGUAGUGUCAUGGUUUGGGGUGGCAUAUCUACGCGCAAUCGGACUAAUCUCGUGGUAGUCAAUGGAACACUAAAUGCCCAACGCUAUAGAGAUGAAAUUCUGUCAACGGAAGUGGUUAAUUUCAUUAACAGAUAUGGACCUGGAAUAACAUUUCAGCAUGACAAUGCCCGUCCCCACACUGCUCGUGUUUCAAAUGCUUACUUGCAGCAACAAAACAUCGAUGUGUUGCCAUGGCCAUCGAAAUCUCCAGACAUGAAUCCCAUCGAGCACAUAUGGGAUGAACUGAACCGCAGAGUUCGCUCAAGGCAACGCCAACCUGUUACACUGCAAGAAUUGUCCCAAGCAUUACAACAGGAGUGGAACAACAUGCCUCAGGCUAAAAUUUCCAAAAUUGUCUUGUCUAUGCGACGUAGGCUCCAAGCAGUAAUUAAUGCCAAUGGUGGACACACGAGAUAUUGACUUUUCAAACUGUAAACAUCUGAUGAAGCGUAUUGUUAUUCGAGAUUUUUGAUCUCAUCUGUUGUUUUUGAAACUGUGUCAAAACUGUUACUCCGCUGUACUUUAUUUUUUUAGUAUGCAUUAUUCAUUGUUAGUCAUUCAUACAUUUGUUAUUGUUAAUUAUAUUGCAAAACCUAUUUCUUGAAAAUUUGAUAAUAAAUAAGUGUAUCGUUUCUUUUGUCGCUCAGUAUAAUUAAACUAAAGUUACAUAAACAAACAUGUUCUUUUAAUUUAUAUUUUUUAAGUAACAAACAAAUAUUUCCCUUUCAGCUAUAGCGAGUGCUUUAUUUGAAGACUAAAACUGAACAUAAAAAAACAAAACAAAAAUGAACGCAUUGAUACCAAAGGUUAAAAAUAUGUAAAAUACACUGUUAAAUAUCGACUGCAGCUAAAAUAUGAAACAUUAAUGCACUACCAAAUAAAUGAAAAACCCAAAGAUGAUUGAAAUGAGAGUACAUGAUAAAAAGUACAUUAGAACAGUAAUGGUAAAUUCAUUCUCCUAUAACUCGUGUUCUAUUUUAAAUCUAAAUUGAUGUCACUGAUGAAAUAUAUAUUUGUUUACCAUAUGAGCGGUACUUUUUACAAAUGUACUUGGAGCCCUUAUUUGUAAACGAAUAGAAAUAUCGUGCACUGAACAUGGUAGCUUCACCUUAUUAAUCAAAUUGUAAUAUUUUUGAUCCUCAUAUGCAUAAAUACAAGAUUUGUCUUAAAUGUAAAUUAUUUUUAUUUUGUAGCAAUAUUGUCAGUAAAAGCUGUAAAUACACUGUACAGCCCAAAGAAGAAAGAAUCCGUCACACUGCAAGUUUCUGUCGUGGGUAAACCUUCUAAGAUCAGCUGGUAUAAGGACGAUCAACUAAUAACAAUAUCGAAUAGAUAUUCCGAUGGAACAGUGUCCUCUCCUGCACUGACGAUAAAAAAUGUCAAACUUAGUGAUGGUGGUGCAUAUGUGUGCGAAAUAACAAAUGGAAAGAACACAGUUCGAACCAGCAUAAUCCAGUUGUCUCCAUUGCGUAAGUUAUCCGUCUUAUCAUUUUUCGUUUAAAGAACCUUAUUUUUUCAAUUUGCUUGGUUUGAAUCGUUUUGGUUUACUUUUAUGGCGUUAUUUCCUAUUUUUGAUCCUUCGGUUUACACGUCUAUUUGCAGACAGUUUAAAGUAAAGGUUACUCCUUCGUAACGUGUUAUUCUGCUGCAACUGAUAAUGUUUAGUUAUUUGUCCACAUUAUGCAUUAAAUAUUGACCACAUAAAAAGUUUACACAAAGUUCUACGUUUGAAAAUAUUAUUGUAAUUCCCAUCUGGGAAAGACAUUCUAAAAACUCCUUGUAUUUGGCCUGUGAGUAUGUACGACAGACAGUCGUUUCGUCAACAAAGGACUCGUCAGUGUCGCCGGAAUCACAAAGUGUGACGGGCAAAGCAAUUGGAAAUUAAAGAAAUUAAUUAUUUAAAACAUUGUUAAAAAUCUUACUAAAUGGCUUUCCAAACACUAAAUUUACAAUACCAAUUGGACUAUAUUGAAUGACAGAAUAGUAAUGACUGAUUUGCUGGUGAGACUCUGUCAAGUUAAGUUAAGAAAUUAAUUAUUUAAAACAUUGUUGAAAAUCUGACUAAAUAGCUUUCCAAACACCAAAUUUACAAUACCAAUUGGACUAUAUUGAAUGACAGAAUAGUAAUGACUGCUGUGCUGGUGAGACUAUCAAGUUAAGUUAAUAAUAACCAUUAAUAAAGUCCUAACCUAUCAAUCGCUAAGGGUGAAAACAUCAAUGAUAGGACAGAAAUAGAAAUCAAAUGGUUGCAUUGCUAAACUACAGGUAUGGCCGUUAUUUACGAAAAUGAAAAUUAAUUUAACAAGCAUUGGUAACCAAAUCCAACCCCAUUUUAGACCGCUUGUUACUACAAACUCUCCAUUCCUAAACAGAUGUAUCAAAACAUUUACCAACGUCGUAUUGUCGCAUAAAAGACCGGAUCCGAUCGAUUAGUAUGUUGAUUGUUUGUGAGAAACAAACAAAUAUUCCGUUUUGGCUAUACUUGUUGUUAUGUUUGAGAAAGGUUAGGAAAUAUGUAGAAUGCACAGUCUGUAAAAUAUCAGCUGCAUCUAAAAUAUGAAGUAUUUGCGGACUACCAGCAAGAAAGUCGAAAGACCCAACAGGAAUGAAAAUAUAUACAUGGAUAAUGCAAAUUCAGAACAAGAAUGGUAUAUUUUCCCAAUACCUAUACAAUUCAUGUUAAGGUGGUACCCAACACUUUAACUAAAAUUAAUUUGGCUCGUUUAAUUUUCUUAAAAGUAUUUUCUUUGACCCUUUUACAAAAAUAUCAAAAUUUCAAAAAAUUUGAACCAACCGUUUUAUCAGAAAAAUUAACCUAGUUGUAUAGCUGUUUGACAAACACUUAUUUUGGUCAUUGAGAAGCUUAAUAUUCCCUUAACAACACAACGUUAUUAAAACGUUUAGCUGAUUUUACAGAGUUAUCUCUCUCCCUGUAGUGUUAGGUACCACCUUAAAAAGGCCGCUGCAGUGCAAAAUAUUCGAAUAUUCCUGGAACUUUUAUGAUCGAACAAAUGUUCCUAGAACUUUUAUAAUAAAACAAAUAUUCCUAGAACUUUUUAUGCCCCAUUUAUGGGCAUUGUGUUUUCUGGUCAGUCCGUCCGUCCGUUCGACUGUUCGUUCGUACGUUCGUCUUAGUAAACAUGUUCCUUGUGAUAUGAUCUUUCUCAUUUUAAUGCCAAAUUAGAAAUUUUUCCCCAUUUUCACGGUCCAGUGAACAUAGAAAAUGAUAGUGCGGAUGGGGCAUCUGUGUACUAAGCACACAUUCUUGUUAUGAUAUGAACAACAAAUCCUGGAACUAUUAUAGUAUAACAAAUAUUCCUGGAACUUUUACCAUAUAAAACAUUCUCCAUAACAUUUAUUCCAAAAAACUUUUAGCCUAUAACAAAAGUUGCAUUGGGAACUUUCCGUAUGUAAUAUUUUAUCGGUUGAGAAGGAAAUUUUCUUAUAGCACGGAUAACAUAUUAUAUAGAAAAAUAUUGCAAUAGAACUUUUGUUCUAUGCUAAAAGCUAUUUAGAACACAUAUUAUGGGGGUGACUUGUAUUCUGUCACAAUUUGUCAUUAUUAGUUUUCUCUGCCAUUAAAUCUAUCAAUAUUGUUACAUUCAAUAUUGUGUGGGGAACAGGUUAAAUAAGAGAAUGGCACUAGUUCCACUAAAAAAUACAGUAAUGAGUAUUGAAACUAUAUAUUUCCAAAAUCAUCCAAGAAGUUUUUAUAUGCACGCUUUAAAAUUUAGGACAACAUUUUAUGUGAAGACCGUAUUCCCUGUCAUUUUUAGCAUAUCCAGUGGUUGACAUUUGUCACCGUAGAUCAUAUAAGUUUGUUUGGCUUUUUUUUAUUUUAUUGUUUUGUACACUAAUCAGGCAAUUGGUUUUCGCUUUUGAACUGUUCCAUACUGUGUAAUUAUAUCCUAAUUCUAUCCUAUCUUUUGGAAAAAAUGUGACGUCACUUUGUGCGUUGAUCUCUUCGGCUCACUCGGCUGUAACAUUUCAUGUACUGGUUUAUGUUGUUUUUAUUCUGUAGUUAGUCAACACUUCAGUGUUAUUAUGUUAUUAUGUAUAUCUAUUUUUUUUUAAUUCUUGUAAAUUUACUGCUUGCAAAAGUAUGAAUUAUUCUAAAUAUUAAGGAUAUUCUUAUCCCAGACAGAAAACAUUAGCCGCAUUAGGCAAAACUUUUUGGAACUUUUGGUCCUUAACUUUUUACUUUAAGCUUUGGCUUUCGAACUUUUUAUUCCCCACAUACGAUAGUAGAGGAGCAUUAUGUUUUCUGGCUGUGGGUCCGUUCGUUCGUCCGUCCAUCUGUUCGUCCGUUCGUCCGUUCGUCCCGCUUCAGGUUAAAGUUUUUAGUCAUGGUAGUUUUUGAUGAAGUUGAAGUCCAAUCAACUUGAAACUUAGUACACAUAUUUCCUAUGAUAUGAUCUUUCUAAAUUUAUUGUCUUAUUAGAGUUGUAACCCCAAUUCCACGGUUCACUGAGCAUAGAAAAUAAUAGUGCAAAUUUCAGGUUAAAGUUUUUGGUCAAGGUAGUUUCUGAUGAAGUUGCAGUCCAAUAACCUUGACACUUAGUCUACAUGUUCCCUAUGAUAUGAUCUUUCUAAUUUAAAUGCUAAAUUAGAGAUUUUACCCCAAUUUGAUGGUCCAUUAAACAUAGAAAAUGAUAGUGUGAGUGGGGCAUCCGUGUACUAUGGACACAUUCUUGUUUUUAUCUGAGCGUCACUUUAUAUUCUUGUGUAAACGAAACGCGCGUCUGGCGUAUUAAAUUAUAAACCUUGUACCUUUUGAUAGCUAUUAUUUGUGUCUUUCUCUGUCCUAUAUGUUCUCCCAUUUAUUUGCACCUUAGUCCUGUCAUGUAAUUACGUCAUUUCAAUGUAAUAUUUAACAUUGCCAUAAAAGCCGGAGGUUUGGCUAGCCACAAACGGUGGUUCAACCCACUAUUUUUUUUCUAAAAAACAUAUCCUGUACCAAGUCAGAAAAAUGACAAUUGUUAUCGUACAGUUUGUUUCUCUGAGUGUUGCAUUGUCGUUUUGGUUAAUUUGUGUAUUUCUCCGUCCCGUAUGUUUUUCCAUUUAUGUUAAUUGUAGUCCUGUCCUGUUAUGUUGUCCUUUAGUGUUAUAUUUAAUAUUACCAUAAAAGCGGGAGGUUUGGCUAGCCACAUAACCAGGUUCAACCCACCAUUUCUUUCUUAAAAUGUCCUGUACUAAGUCAGGACAAUGAUCAUUGUUAAAUGAUAGUUCGUUUCUGUGUGUGUUACAUUUUAGUGUUGUGUUUCUGUUGUACGGAUCGUAGUUCUCCUCUUAUUUUUGAUGCGUUUCCCUCAGUUUUAGUUUGUAACCCAGAUUUUUUUUAUUCUCAGUCGAUUUAUGAAUUUCCAACAGCGGUAUACUACUGUUGCCUUUAUUUAUAUCUAUGUAUUUUUUUUCUUCUGGAUAGUUGUUUCAUUUGAAAUCGUUCCACGUUGUCUUUAACAAGUAAAUAUAUAUCCAAUACUGAAUAUUAUAUCAGUGUAAACAUUUUAAAUGGAAAUGUAGAAGAUAAUUUCCUAUGUCAAUAUCUUAUCUUUAAUUGUAGCCCUUCUGUCAGUGGUAGCCAAAAAAACUUCAUACAUGCUAAAGCAGGACGCAAUUGUUACACUGAAAGUAAAAAUUGUUGGAAAACCUUCUCGAAUAACUUGGUACAAAGACAAACAGCCAAUCAUACGAUCUGAUAAAUACGCUGGUGGAAAUGUAUCUGUCCCUGCAUUGACCAUAAGCAAAGUAGACAAAAGUGAUGUCGGUGACUAUGUUUGUGAAGCCACAGAUGGAACUGUCACAGUAAACACGAAAACUAUCAGUCUGUCUCUUACACGUAGGUGUAACAUCGUAUUCCCUUGUUUAAAUUGCUAGAUUGAAUAACUUGCCCAAAAAUAUAUAAUAAGUGUUUUAUAUAGUGUACCUCUGAGGUUUUAUGACAACAAAGUUUGUUUCUGCCUAUAUUGCUAAUAACAAUGAAUUUUAUAAUAUUUCACAAUUUGAAUUAUGAAAAAAAAAAUCUUUAUUUAUGGUCAUGGCUGUGUCUUUAUAUUAUUGGACUAUCUUGAAAAGACAUGAUAACAACUCGUUAUAGGUUGCACUUUGUAAAUACAGCUGAUUCUCAAACAACGGGGAGAUUUAGAAUAUGUAUAGAAAAUUAAUUUUGUGUUUGUGUCCUGUUGAUAACCCAAAAGUAAACCGUAACACCUAAAUCUGCUUUUUUGUCACCACGGCAUAAAAAAUACGAGCUAGAAAUACAAAAAUAUCUCAACAAAUCUUACAAUAGUGUGUUCUAUCCUGAAUAUAUAUAUAUAUGUUAUAAAUAUUUUAAAUUGCUAAAAACAGCAGAAUAAUUUAAGAAAUUUGAGGCCCCAGAGGCAAAAAAACAUAGAAAAUUGCCUACCCCCUGGGUCAUUAUAAACAAAAAAUUAAACUUGUAAAUGCUAUGAUUUUAUGAUUUUUAAGUUCUUAAUAUGGAAAACAAUAACUAUGCUUGGAAGUUAUGCAAAAAUCAGAUGUUAGAAGUCAUCUCUAUAACAUUUUAAGUGAAUUUAUAUCUCAGACCGGUAUCUGCAUACAUACAACUAUUGCAAAUAUGGCUUUGUUUGAACACUUCUAGAAUAUUUAUUAAGUAAAUUGUGUCAGAUAUAUGGUAACAGAUGAUACUGUUGUGACAAGAAUUCUAAAUUGACCAUUUGAGGUAGAAAAUGUGAACUUCAAAUAAUUUACAAAGAAAUAUUUACAAAGUGCAACCUAUAACGAGUCAAAUAAGCAUACAGUAAGAUAUGGACUGGAGACAGAGGCGGGAUUGGAUACUUUAUAUAAUCUUGAAUGUUGUAAUUGUUGACUGCUAAACAUUAUAGUUAUAGUAUUCUGAUAUGCUUUCAAUAUGUUAUCAACACAGUUUUAAACAGGUUCUAGGCAUUUUAUAUCAGAAAAUAUGCGAAUAGGGUAAUCUGGCAAUAUUUAAAGUCUUGUUUUCAAAUUCUUUUAAAAAUUGAAACAGGGGAGGGGGAAUAGAUGUUCAGUAAAAAACACCUUAUACACAGUGAUUUCUUUAAGGCUAUAAUUCUGAUAAAUGAGUAUUAAUGUGAGAAAACCCGAUUUAAGAGAGUUUUCUAUUUGAAUAAUUGUUUGUAUACCAGGUUUGUGAUUAUGAACGCCUGGUUCGUCUGUACUACCAGAUAACUGAAAUAUCCAACAAGAAUGAAGUGAUACCUGUACAUGAUAAAGCAGUCUUUUUUAGACAACUUAACCCUUUGAAUCAAAUUAGUAAAUAUUUAAUUCUCAUAUGCACACAACAAUAAUUUGUCUUAAAUCUUAUGUGUAUACAUUUUGUAGCAAUGCUGGCAGUGAUAGCUGGAAAGACACUUUAUAACCCGAAGGAGAAAGAAUCCGUCACAUUGCAAGUGACUGUUUUAGGUUUUCCCUCUACGAUAAACUGGUAUAAGGACGAUCAACUAAUAACAAUAUCGAAUAGAUAUUCCGAUGGAACUGUGUCCACUCCUGCACUGACCAUAACGAACGUCCAACUCGGUGAUGGUGGUGCAUAUGUGUGCGAAAUAACAAAUGGAAUAGAUACAGCUCGAACCAGUAUAAUCCAGUUGUCUCCAUUAUGUGAGUUGUCUGUUUCAUUUUUAUUAAUGUUAUUCGUUUUAUUUCUAAAACCUUUAGACAAUUUAUUUGCUUUGAAUCUUUUGAUUGACUUUUAUGUCGUUAUUUGCUGCUUUUUAUCCCAUGAUUUAUACGGCUGAGGGUUAGUCCUUUGUGGAUUGUGGAUUCCGUUACUACAGUUGGUCUAACUUCAACACUGUAUAAUGUCGGGGACUUACUAUACUGUAUGGGGUGUGCUCGUUCUUGCAGUCCAUACGGCUAACGGCUUAACCAUUGUUUUUCUCUGGUGAAUAUUUAUCUCAUUUGCAAUCGUUCAACAUCGCAUUCUUUUAUAUAGCAAGAAAAGAGAAAGCUAAUACAUAACUUCAUUACAGCAGUGUUAAAAAUUUUAAUUGAAUUGUCAAAGUCUUAUCUUUAUUUUGUAGCCCUUCUGUCAGUGAUAGCAAUAAAAACAUCAUAUAUGGUAAAGCAGGACGCAACUGUUACACUAGCAGUAAAAGUUGUCGGAAAACCUUCUCAAAUAACUUGGUACAAAGACAAGCAACCACUCACACGAUCUGAUAAAUACUCUGGGGGUGAUGUAUCUGUCCCUGCAUUGACCAUAAGAAAAGUAGUAAAAAGUGAUGUCGGUGACUAUGUUUGCGAAGCCACAGAUGGAACUGUGACAGUAAAUACGAACACUAUAUAUCUGUCUCUUACAAGUAAGUUGGACAUUUUAUUACCAUAGUUAAAGUGCUAGUUUCAAAUAAGUUGCCCAACAAUAGAAUUGUCUUACAAAUUGUUCUUCUUAGGCGCUCUGAAGAUAAUAUUUGUUUCUAACUAUAUAAAUGAUAUAUUUCAUAAUUUGAACUGUAAAACAAAAUAUUUGUGUUAUGGUCAUGAUGGUGCAUGUUUUAAUUAUUGGACUAAGAAUACUUUAUUGCCCACUUGAAUUUUUGAUCUUUAUCCUCAACCAUUUUUAAAUACAAUAACUUUAUGAAAUUAUAAAUGAAUUGGAUAUAAAAUUCGCUGUGACAUUGAUCUGUUUUUUCUUUAAUUUCAAUAUAGAAUUUUGUCUGCACUUAAACUGAAAAUUAUAAAUACUUGAUGAAAGUAGGUUCGUUCUAAGCAUCUAUUCUCAAAUGUGGAAUUGUAGAUGAAAUAUUUACUGUAUGAAUGAAUAUUAUAACAAUGUUUUUGAAUGUAUUUUGAAACUGUCAAAUGAAUGAAUAAGGUUCAAAAUUUUAAAUGAGUUAAUAAAUAUUUUCAGGUAGUACAGAGGAAUUCAAAAUAGUUACUAGAGCACCAACAACUAUACUUCUCACCACUGAAUUGCCAAGUACAACACCUACUUUAAAACUCUCUGUAACAACUGCAGACAGAUCGAAACCAGAUGUAACUAUUGAACCACAAACCGAUUCACUUCGACCUAAUACUUCACCACCGAAACCUUCAUCUCAUAGCACAAGAUCAAGUAGCAAUAGUGGAAGUUCAUCUUUCAGUACUGAUUCGUCAAGUUCGCAAUGUCAUUUUCACGAUGGACGUCCAUGUUGUAAGCAAAAUCACGGAUCAGUUGUUAACGUUAAUGUAAACGUUCGAGUUGAGGGCAAAGGCCGUGAUAGCAGCAGCUAUGAUGACAGUAGCUUUUACGACAGUAGACUUGAUGACAGUAGCCUAGAUUACAGCAGCAUUUACGAUAGUAGCUUUUACGACAGUACACUUGAUGACAGUAGCCUAGAUUACAGCAGCAUUUACGAUAGUAGCCUAUAUCACAGUAGCAAUGCUGACAGUAGCCACAGUGACAGCAGUUAUCAUGACAGCAGCCGUACUGACAGUAGCCUAGAUGACAGCAGUCAUCAUGACAGUAGCCUAUAUCACAAUAGCAAUGAUGACAGUAGCCUUAGUGACAGCAGUCAUCAUGCCAGUAGCCAGAGUGACAGUAGCCUAGAUGACAGUAGCCUAGAUGACAGUGGCCGUGCUGACAGUAGUCUGGAUGACAGUAGCAUUGAUGACAGCAGCCUUAGUGACAGUAGCCUAGAUGAUAGAAGCAUUGAUGACACCAGUCACCGUAACCGUAGUUUAGAUGACCCUAUCAUUGAUGACAGCAGCCUUGGUGGAAGUAGCCUAGUUGGCAGAGUUUGUAAUGGCAGUAGUAUUGAUAAGACAAGUCUCCCUGAUAGUAGCCUAGUUGACACUAGCAUUUAUGAAAGAAGCCUUGGUAACAUCAGCCUCUGUGACAAUAAUGUGUCUGCAACUUCAAAAGCAAGUAAGAGCAUAUCAUGA
rnacentral:sRNA from 1 species